UUAAUCAAAAGCCCCAAAUAACUUUGCAUGUAAUCAUGAAAGAUCCCUUCACUGAAAGCAUGACAAAAACCAACUAUAUAGUGUUACAUUCUGUAACAAUUAAAUAAAAGUGGAUGCCGCCGCUGUAGAAGGUUUUGUCGUACUCUGCCGUCGGUCGAAGUCUCUACCACCACGUCAAAGGUUGUCAGAACACUUCUUCUUUUGCUGGAAAGUGAAGCAAAGGGAUAUCACUUUUCAACCCAAAGGUAGGAACGUUUUUCUUUUUCCUUUCAAAAAGGAUAAACAAUUGUUGAGUGCUUUGUGUAUUAUUAUUGCAGAAUUUGGCUUAGUAAGUUGUUAUGCAAUUUCUUUAUUGACUUCUUCAUCUUCUUUCAUCUUCUUUGGCUUAGUAAGUUAUUGAAUAUGACUCGCGGCAUAAAACACCGGAAGAAAGCCAAGAACAAAAACAAGGUUAAAUCUCCUUUCCUAUUCAAAGCUGCUUAUUAUUAUUAUUGUAACCUUGCUUCAUUGUGGUCUUUUGUGGAUAAUUUUAGUUGUUUUUGUUUAUUUUUGUUUAAAUUUAUGGAAAAAAUAUCAGGGCUCUAGGAAAGAGGGUGGGUCUUCUUCAUCUUUGGCUCCACAAAUUCCAGCUAAGGUGUGGCAACCUGGGGUGGACAAGUUAGAGGAAGGUGAAGAGCUCCAGUGUGACCCUUCUGCUUACAAUUCUCUUCAUGCUUUUCACAUUGGAUGGCCCUGUUUGAGGUCUUUUUCCUGGCUCUUAUUUCUGUUCAGUCAUUUGUGUUAUUUUUUUUUUUUUUUUUGUUUGAAUCAGUAGUGAGAAAAACUGAGCUUAUUUUGAUAAACUAACCUGUUUUUCUUUUUCUCGUAUUGUUGUGUUUGAUAACACUGAAACCAUAAAUUGUUAUGUAAAGUUCCUUUCGAGUUGAUAUUGCAAUUCAAUUGAGAAUCUUGGCCAACUUUACUGUGCGUUUGCUUUACUUUCUGCUUAUUAUUGUUAAUCUUUUAUUUUUGGUUGUCAUCAGUAAGUAAUCUUCUAUUUAUGUUUUGGGACUUGACAGCUUUGAUAUUCUACAUGAUUCUCUGGGUUUGGUUCGAACAGAAUUUCCACAUACAGUAUAUUUCAUGGCAGGGACUCAGGUCAGUGUUGUUUCUUAUAUUUGUUUUUGUUUGAGGAUGUUUGAUUAUUCAAAUUGAACGUGGUUAGUAUUCAUGAGCAAUAUCACAUGGGGUAGCAUAUAUUAGGCUUUGUGGUUAUGAGAGAACUUUUCCUUUAGAGGACUUUUGAGUUUUAAAAACAAUAAUUUUUCUUUAUUAUAAUUGGUCAUUAUUUUGAGAAGAGUUAACACAUAGCAACUAAUAGUUAUUUGGUCCACUAGCUUUGCUUCCUUUGUCUUUUUUCGUUUGCUUCUUUUGAUUGAGACUCAUGUUACGGCAAUGCAUGAAGCACAGGCAGAGAAACCUUCUUGGAAUUCUAUUGGAAUUUUUAAAGUAUCAAAUAUUUCUGGAAAGAGACGNGAACCGGUACCUAAAGUUNAAACUGAUGACUCUGGAAUGGAUGNNGAGGAUAGUGAUAGUGAUGAUGAUAGUGAGGAUGAAGAUGAAGAUGUUGCCCAGGGUCCCAGUUUGCAGGUACAUUUCUCUUCAUUUUAGUAUUUAUUGUUUCAUUUGUUCACUGCUUUAGAUUUGAUUAUUCUGUCCUUUNCAUUCUUUUGUUAACUACAGUUACGGAAGGUUGCACACCAAGGAUGUAUCAACCGUAUACGCUCCAUGCCACAAAAUCCCCAUAUAUGUGCAGCUUGGGCUGAUACCGGUAAUGUACAGGUUGGACUUUUAAACCCUUUGAUUUGAUUUUCUAAUUUGUCAUAAAUUUCAAGAAAACGUUUCCUUGUACUUUUGGAAUUAAUGUGAUUCGGCAAUUUUCAUUGUUAUGUGAUAAAAUGAAUGAAACUAAAACUGCUAUAUAAUGGAAAAGUGUUGUUUCAUAGUCAUACAUAUCAACUUUGUUUUAAGACAGUGUAAUGGUAAAUGUUCACGAAAUGGCAUGUGGCUAAGGCUAAGAUUGACUAUUAUCUUUGUUGGAAUCAUUAUCUAUAGGUGUUAUCAUUUAGGCUAGUCUGCAGAAGUCUAAUGGUUUUUUUACCUAGUUCUGUUCCUAGUAGUCUAGGACAGUCUCUUGACCUUCUAUCUCCCUAUUGUAUCAUCUCUUUGUUAUUAUAAAUAGCAGAACAUGAGAGGGAUAAUUAAGCCCUCAAGAUUAUAUUUUUAUCAGUUUUAAUCUCAAGUAAGCCAUAGUAUUUUAUGGUUUUGGAUGCUAUUCCUAGUUACAUUACACUACAAAUUCUGUUUUAAGUUUUCUGAGAAGUAUGGAUUGGACCUUGACUAAGGAAAUAUUUGGUAAAAUUGCUAGUGGUUUCCUAAAUAAGUAAUUAGAUUAGUUUUCUUAAUUUACUCAGAAAUGAAUUUAGAUUCAAGCUGUUAAUGAAAUGAGCUCUUAUUUGGCGCUUUUAAGCUCUUCUGCAGUGUCAAAAUUUUCCUUGAUGUUAUCGGAAGGGUUAUUUUAAUUUUGCAAUUAUCUUCCAAAAAUGCAACUAAGACAAAGGUUCAUAAAGGGAAUGGGCGAAGUAUAUUAUUUGAUGGUUCAAGUUCUUUUCAGCUAGUUCUCUUGUCCAGUUUUGUUUUAAAUGCUGUUAGUUGUCCAUGAGUUGACAUCCCAGAUUUUACUAAUGCUAGUUGAGCCAUUGUAUAAGUUCAGCAUUUCCACAAUGUUGAAUUAAGCAGAAUAGAGUAAAAGCUGCACAAAACCCCUAAAAGAUCUGUUUGAAUAAUUGAUGAUCUAUUAAAUGAAAUGCUGUAAGAGCCUGGAGUUGGGACUGAUUACUCACUGAAUAAUGAUUAUCUUCUAUUGUACAACAUUUAUAGUGUGGCUUGUUGUAUCUAGUAUGUCAUAGGCUGUAGCCUUUAUCUGUGAUUUCUUAGAAUUGUACUUUCACUUAGUCAGGCUUGUAUAUAUAAAUACAUCAGUGGAGAGCAUGAUAACUCACUGAUUUUCCAAAAUCUAAAAUUCUCAACUUGGUAUGAGAGCGGGUCUGAUCCCUGCUCUGCUGUCCUCACCAUCAAUUACUUUCGUAUGUUGUUGGAACCACUGUCUGUCACUAUUGCUGGAGCCCUUUUUUGCAGGCAACUUAAGGGUUGGUGUACGUCAUCAACCGUAACCUAACCCAAGCGGUCCAAGUCCAAACUCUUUCCCAUGCACUCUCAUGUGCCAAUAUUGUAGGCUGUUCUGUUAUGUGUAUGCAGCUCACAUGUCAGCCAACUGCCAUAGGAGAGAAUCUGUAGAACCACAUACAUCUUGUAGUACCAUGAGAAUUUGUGGAAGAAGCUUGACUUCCAGCUAAGUGUUAUAAUGUGAUAGUUUGUAGAACCACAUAUUUUUGGAAUUCAAAACGUUAAAACUUGUUCUUUUUGGAAAAAGGCUCAGUAUUUUUGCGAAUAAUAUAAAAUGUCUAUACAUCUUAGCCAAUAAACUAGAUCCUCUCGAAACAGAUUGUGGCAUGACCACUCAUCUAGCUCUAGCUGAAAUUGCUGUGGAAGAAUUGAACACAUUCUUAGAUAUUGAUUCAUUGGAAGGAUUAGAAGGAAAUUUGAAAGCUAUAUGUGGUGCUGAUCUUGCGGAGUUUGCUUUCAGACUUUGGUUACAUUCUUGAUCAAAUAUUGAUUGGCUAAGAUUCAUUCUUUGGACAGCUUAAUUAUAAGAUUUCUUGGGAAAGUUCAAUCAAAGUGGUUGAAUCCUUAGCAAUGGUAUCUUCUCGGGGAAGAGGUUGUGAAAUAAAGGAGGAAAAACAUCUUUCAAGAUGUUCUUAUUGCUACGAGAUGUCAUAUCCAAGGAAAUUGGGACAACAAAUUUGUCCGUGUCUGAAAAAUAUCAAGAAUAUAUUUAUCAAAACUCCAAAUAAAGUCUUGUCUUUCCUCUACUCCCAUAUUUUCAACGUGUGUUUCUCAGUCAUUUGCUAAUCAAAGUCCACAGAUUAUUCACUAAAGUGCUUCUGGUCACAUAGCUUGCUAGUAAUGAUUCUUUAGUUUCUUCCAACCUUGAUUAUGGUGAUGAUAACUCCUCUCAUGUGGCCAAAAUCACCACUAUUCUGCUUUUCCUUGUCAUAGAUACUAUUAUCUAUUGGUUGCUCCAUCAACUCGAUAUUAAAAUGCCCUUUGUUUAAUAUAGUAAAAACUAUGUAUGGGAUUAAUCUCCUUUGUGUUGAAUAUACACAUAGGGUCCUCUAUUUAUAAUAGAAGAAAUAUAGGCUUAGUCCAAAAUACAAAUAAGAAAUAAUAACAAACUAACUAAAGAUAAAAGAUAAAUAUAAAAUAAAGAUAAUAUAUCUAAUACCUUUUUUUCAUGGAGAUCCAGAAGAGAAGAUUUACACAAAGCAAUCUCUUGAGAUUGUUGCUCAAGGGAUUUGGCUUAAUUGGCAUGACUCACAUGCUAAGACUUGAAGUUUGCUAAGUUUGGUAAUCAUCCUUUUUAAUUUUUAUAAAUGUAGAUGACCCAAGCGAUCAUGUAGAAGCUUAGGAGAUGGUAAUGCUAAACAUGACAUUGACGGUCUAAUGCAUAGAUAGUAGAGUACCCUCUGUUCAUGCCCUUCACUAACAGUCUACUUGUACUGGGAUCUUGGAUAAUAAAAGAAUUUGCAUCAAAGGUUAUUGAACAAUGUAAAGAUUUAGUUAAUUGACUUAAGGAAAUUAGGUUAAAAGGACAAUGAAGGUGUUACGAUAUUAGGUGAUAGGAUGGGAGGAAGGGAAGCCGAACGGUAGGAGACAGGGUGAAGCAAGCCGAACGGUAGGAGGCAGGGGUACGCAAGCUGAAUGGUAGGAGAUAGGGGGAAGCAAGCUGAACGGUAGGAGGCAGAGUGAAGCAAGCCGAACGGUAGGAGGCACAGGUACACAAGCCGAACGGUAGGACGGAGGCGGAAGACCAAGCCGAAUGGUGGAAAGCGGGGAGAGGCCAAACCAAAUGGUGGAAGGCAGGGAGAGGUCAGGCCGAAUAGUGGUAGGCUGUGAGGAGUCGAGCCGAAUGACUGAAAAUGGUGAGAGCUCGAGCCGAACGGUGGGAAGCAACAAAGGACCUGAGCCGAACGGUUGAAGAAUUACCAUUCCAACUCUUGCAGAGGUUAGGAUGGGUGGGAACUAAUUACAGGAAAAGAAGCCACAUUCGAGAAUAUUCAGUAUAAGUUAAUUAUAGUAAAUAAAUAUAUAUAUUCUAGAGAAAUAUUCAAUAUAAGAUAUUUAUAAUUAAUGAUAUAUGCUAGAGAAAUAUACGGGGGGAUAUUUAUAUUAAAUAUAGGGAUAUCUAUAUUAAAUACAGAUAUAUUCUAGGAAAAUAUUUAGUAUGAGAUAGGCGGGAAAUAUAUUAGUAUAAAUAGAGCUACAGUCUAUUGUUAGGAGUAUGCUUUUGAUUAUUGAGUUUUUUUGACAGGUGGCUACGUCCUGUGAGGGAGGUUAUGCUCCCAAGUAAUUGAAGGAGGUUAUGCUUCCAAUUACCCUUGUUUACUUUUGUUUAUCCACAUCAAUAAAAGAAAUUCAUCCGUUCAAUUCCAUUCUUUCAUUAUUCUUUUGUUUGCUUUGAGUGUGUGAGAAGUUGUUUUGGUUAAGUUUCAUACUCAGGUACGUAACAGAGGGACAUAAAGAGCAUGCUUUAUGUUCAAAGUUGAAGAAAGGGAGAUUUGACCAAUUCCUUGAGAAGUAGCUUUGGAUCCACUAGCUAAAUUAAUAACAUGAGGAAUUUUAGGAUGAUAAAUGGAAGAAAAUAAGGAAGCAUUACUAGAAAUGUGAUCAAAAGCACUUGAUUCGAUUAUCCAAUAUCAAUAGACUUAUUAAACAUUCCAAGGUUUGAGAGAUGCAAGCUUUUGACAGUCUAGUGAAAGGGUGUGCUUUGCUUCCUGACUUCGAACUGAGUUAUUCUUGAUAUUCUUCGUUAGAAAAAUGUGGUUCAACCUUAUUGGAUUGGAAGAUGUUUGUUGUCUUGCUAGGAAAAGCAUUCAAGGAUAAACAUGUAUUUUGAAUGUGGCCAAUUCUUUUACAAAAGAGACAUUGAGGACAUUUGUAUCCCCACUCGGAAAAAGGAAGACAUUGCUAGCUACCUAUAUUAAAUACCUAUUAUAACAACUUCCUAUAUUCCAUACCUAUUUUAACAUUAACAUAAUUAAAUUUCUGAAAUUCUAAAAUUAUUAUUAGCAGAUAUGGUUAAACAUUGUGAAGUGUAUUUUCUGUCUUCUCUUUUAAUCAGAAAAUAUAUGUACCGUUCCCAGCCAUGCCUUCUUUUUAGUAUAUAGUUUGAUACUUGAGAACAAUUUGUAGGUCUGGGACCUAAGCUCUCAUCUCAAUGCUCUGGCUGAGACCGAAACAGAAGGUGUCCAAGGAGUUGCAGCAGUUUUUACUCAGGACCCAUUGCAUAAAUUUAAACACAAAGACGAAGGUUAUGCUAUAGACUGGAGUCUUCUUGUUCCUGGAAGGCUUGUAUCUGGUAAUCUUUAGUUCUACAUUUUUCAGUUUAUCUAUAUAUUUUUUUUUUAUUUUUCCCUGGUAUGUCUUCAUAUUUUGUGAUAUUUUUGUGAUAUUAAGCUUGACAACGAUCUUCAUUUUUAAGGGGAUUGUGAUAAUAGCAUUUAUCUGUGGGAGCCUACAUCUGCUGGAACAUGGAAUGUUGAUAAUGCUCCAUUUACUGGACAUACUGCUAGUGUUGAAGAUCUGCAAGUACGUGUACUAAUAUGCGUGGGAAUAGUUGCUCUCACAUUAGUAGUUUGUCUUUAUUUAUAAAUGUGAUAGUUGUAAUGUUCAAUUAAUCCCUGCAGUGGAGCCCUACAGAACCUCACGUUCUUGCUUCNUGUUCUGUGGAUGGAAAUAUUGCUAUAUGGGAUAUCCGUUUGGGGAAGUCACCGGCUGCNUCUUUUAAGGCACAUAAUGCUGACGUGAAUGUCAUAUCAUGGAACAGGUAUUGAUUAAUACGUAAUUCUAUGGUGUUCCAUGAAUUGCCAUUCCAGAUCUCUUCAUUGCUUUGUGUGCUAUAUUGUAAUGAACAGGUUGGCUAGUUGUAUGUUGGCCUCGGGAAGUGAUGAUGGGACUAUUUCUAUUCGUGAUCUCAGACUGCUCAAGGUAUAGGUUGUCAUCAUAACGAUUAAAAAGAUGGUAAACAUGCUUCAUUUAUAACGGGAAGUCUAUUGUGUGCAUGUGAUGUUCUCUUAUGUGGAUGUUGUUUCAUGUUAUGUUAUACCCGGCUUCCUUGUGUUGCAGUGUUCAUAUUACAUCAUUAUUUGUAAAGCUGUCAUCUGACUUUCUUUUCUCUUUUUUCGUUACCACAUCCAUCUUUUAUCUUUCAUUUUUAUACCUGUAAAUCCAUGUGAAGGACUGAAGAUGCAUUAUGGGGAAGAAAUAUUAUUGUGGGAAUGUGAUUUAGAAAGUAACUUUCACGAUGUUUAAUUUGUUUCAGCUUAUUGAUUUACUUUUUCUUGUUAUUAAAGCUGACAUGAAAAGAGCAUUUAUUUAUGGGCAGGAAGGAGAUUCUUUGGUAGCACAUUUUGAAUACCACAAACAUCCAAUCACAUCCAUUGAGUGGAGUCCACAUGAAGCCUCUUCAUUGGCUGUUUCAUCUGCUGAUAAUCAGCUUACGUAAGUACAACUUUUGAUACUAUUCACAGAGAUUUAGUGGGAAAAUAUCUUCAAACAUGUAAUACCUGACACGGAACUUUAUGGUAUCCUUUGAUCCAAAUAGCUGACUGACACGACUUGGUGGUAAAAUGCUUAGUUGUUUUUUUUUAAUCUUUGGUUUUGACCCUUUGCCCAGGACCUAAUCCUAUCUCUUUCUUUUUGCUACUUUAUUAUGAUGUGGGAUUUAAGAAGUUUUAUAACCUUACCUUUCACACAGAAUAUGGGACCUUUCAUUAGAAAAGGAUGAAGAAGAGGAGGCUGAAUUUAAAGCUAAAACCAAAGAACAAGUUAAUGCUCCUGAAGAUCUGCCUCCCCAACUAUUGUUUAUUCACCAGGUAAUUCCAAAUGCUCAACUCUGUUUAUCUGAAUGGUAGAAUAAACUCCCGCAUUAACUGUUCAUUUGUUUAUUUUUCCUUGAAUAAAAACAGGGACAGAAAGACCUGAAGGAAUUACAUUGGCACGCACAGAUUCCUGGAAUGAUUGUUUCUACAGCAGCAGAUGGGUUCAACAUACUUAUGCCUUCAAAUAUUCAGAGCACACUGCCAUCAGAUGGUGCUUUAUAAGACACACUCUCGUCAAGUUUUCAAGCCAACCGGUUACAACUUGGAUAAGCUGUUUGCAAUCCCCGUGAAUCUACUUGAAUAUUGGAGAAAGUUUCUUUGUACUCUUUUUUUGCUUUUGGUUCUUAUUGUUUCUUCUUCGCCCAUGCUUUAAGUUUUGUGGAUUAUAUGCUUCAGCUUGGUAUGCUUCACUUAACUUUGAUGCAAUUUUCGUGUAUGCUGUCUAAACUGAUGCUGAUAGUAAGGUUAGAAUGGAAAUUAUUAGUUUUGCUGUUGUGAUGUGGCUUUUCCGAUGUUUUUAAUCACUCGGUGGUGAUACUUAGAGUGUAUAGUGGAUAUUGGCUUCAAGGAUUUGUGGUGAAGUAAAGGUAGUAAAAGAAAUGGAACUUUUAAGUUUGUGAUAUUGAUCUGAAGUUUUUCUUUAGUUUCCAAUUUUUAAUUUAAUUGAGAUUGUACAAUCUGAAGUUCUCUUAAGAUUUUACAAUUUGGAACGAUAUAUGCAAAACAUUUGAGUUCCAAAUUAUCUAGUUCAGAAGUCAGAAUCGUGUGAUAUAUGCAAACAUUUGACUUCCAAAUCAUCUAAUUUGAAAGUCAGAAUUGAUUUUUGAAUUGUACAAUUUAAAUUAUACUUUGAAAGUUUAAAUUUAUUUUAAAUUGUAUAAUUCAUAAAUUAAAUUUGACUUCUAAAUUUUGCAACCUAAAAUAUAUAAGAAAUUUUGGAAUAUAUUUUAGACAGUACAAUGUAACACUAUAACACUAUAAUGUGUGAUUUCUCAAUUUCACAAUCUAAAAUAUAUUUUAAAAUUUUAAAUAUAUUUUAAAUUAUAUAAUCUAAACGUUAAAUAUAAAUAAUCAAGAAGUUAAAAGCUUGUAUAUUUUUUUUAAAACCUUUUUAAGUCAUAGUUUAUCAUUUAAUUGUAUCAACAAGGUUCAUUCGGUAUUGUUGGUUUAAAUUGGUUAAAUAAUAUUAAUAGAGACGUUUAUUAGUGUAAUUACCAUAUAUUAAUCGAAUAUAUGAUCAAAUCUUCGUAAUUUGAUUACCAUUAUAAAUAUUCUUUUAUAUCUAUAUAUAAAUGUGGUAUUGUUUUAAGUAGAGUUAUCAAAACGAAUAACCUGACUCGUCUCGGUCCGGCCCACCACGGGUUGGUGGUAUUGAUUGGUCACUUAGUGAGUCAGCUCAAUCCGACUCAUUUAUUAGUGAGCCAGAUCUGAACCCAGUUCGACCCAUUACGGGUUGGUGGGUAAACGGGUUGGCUCACUAGCCAUUUAAGUACAAUUUUUUUUUUAAAUAAAAAAAUUACAAACUUUCUAUAUUCAAAUUUAAACAAAUUUCACCCCCAAAAAAUGAUGUUAACUUAAGAAAAUUCAAAAUAAUAAUAAAAAGUACAAUAUAAUUCAAAUGUCAUAAAAAAACAAACACAAAAAACCAGCUCCUUGAAGAAUUUCAGUGAAGAAGUGAGAGUGAUAGCACCGUAAAUGAGAGCAAGUUCCGUGAGAGUGAUUUGUGAGAGCAGAGGUUACUUUUUUGGUAUACACAGCGAGUGAAGAGAACAUUUUAUUUUUUAGGGUUUCAUAAAUAAAAUAAUAAAUUAAAAAAAUAAAAUUAGGUAGGUGGGUUGGCGGGUCAACCCGGCCCAUCACGGGUUCAACCCGCAUGAGCCGGGUUGAAAUCUGACCCACACAAAAAAAAUUUAAUUUUUUCAAACCCAACCCGGCCCGAACCUAUAGUGAGCCGGGUUGGCUCGCGAUUGUGGCCCAUUUUGACGGCUCUAGUUUUAAGGAAUACACUCACAUUCUUAUACUUGCUACUAUACAUAAAUCCUAAAACUCUCUUAUUAACUUAAGCAUCGAAUAGUCUUUGCAACUGGAUCAUUCUCCUUUUGACAAGGAGGAAUUCUGUUCCAACCGUGAGGAACAUUCAAGCCACCCACUUCGAUCUUGCCAUUUGUCUAAAGGUCCAUGCUUAGAUCCCGCGUCCACCAUGGGUCAAUAGAACUGUAUCCUAUCUCCACGUUUGAUCUUAUCUUGCAUUCUUUGCUUUCAUAACACAUGUAAAAGAUUCAGGUUUGGUCAGAUGCAACAUCGUGCUCUACAAUUUUCUAUCUAUAUUUUUCACUACGACUAAAGCCACAAAGUAAUAUCUUUAAGAAGAUGAGCCAAGAGAUGCAAGAGACAGGCACAUGCAUGCCCAAGAUGGAGCAUGGUCGCAGGGUUCUAAUCUUUGAUGAUGACAACUCCAACUCCAUCAUCCAUACCGAUGCCAGAUCGAUGGUCAUCAAGAGUUUCGAGAACUCCUUUCAUGUCUCUAUCUAUGAGGAACACGCCUACCCCACCACUAUAUGUGCUUCUCCCCCAACAACGAGCAAUUUGGCAACGAAUAAUAAGGAUUAACUUAGCAUUCCAACACUUGAGUACUUGAGCAAGAACAAUUCAACAUUCCAACACCCGAGUACAAAAGCAAGAGCAACUCAACAUUCCAACAUUAGAGUACAUAAGCAAGAACAACUCGAUGUCCUAAUACCUGAGUACAAGUGUCUCUCAGUGUGAGUGUACCUAAGUACAAGUGCAGCUCGACGUGAGAAUACUUGAGUGUAGAGUAAAAGUGGCUCGUUGGCCUAAAGUGAAGGGCAUGUAUACGCUGUUUUUGAUGCAUCUUUGUGGUUGCGGUAAAGGCAUGUUUUGUUCAUACCAUCUAUGGCUUCUUUAUCUUCAUUACUUUGUUGUACUCUAAUAUUCAAUAUUGAGACUAGGUGACAGUACACGAAAUUUAUUGAGAAUGAGAAUGGGGUGUGACUUGUGUGCAUUAAAACAAAGAAGGAAUUGGAGUAAUUUAUAAUAGAAGUAUAAUAGGUUGGGGCCCCGUGGAAAAUUGUUUAAGGGAGCAUACAAAUGGAGGAGCAAACUUCUGAUGUAAAAAUGGGUAUUUGAAUCUUGGGGUGGGGCUGGGUGAGCGCUUAAAAGAUCUUGACUUUGCAUGGAAGAGAUAAAGUUUGUGAGGGAGAGAGAGAGAUUUGUAAGUGGUGGGGUCAUGAGUGGUUAAAAUAAGUAAGAUAAAGUUAUAUGGGUGGUGAGUGGUUUACAUAAGGGUGAGUGAGAAAAAUGAGUUGUAUUAUUUUGAUGGAUGUGGAGUUCAUUUGGGUGGAUAUAUAGAAUUUAUUUUAUUUUAAUGGAGUUGCAUGCUAGUUAUUAGAAAGGAGGUGUGUGUAGUAUAUAUUUUACUAUUUCUUAUUUUGGUUGACUUGGGUAGAUAUAUAGUAUUUUGUGGGUUAGUUGUCUUUAUAGAAAAAUGGUGUGUUUAGUACAUGGUUGACUAUUUUGGGUGGUAUGGUUGAUUUGUUAUUAUUUUGAUGAUUGUUUUAUUAUUGUUUGGAGAAUGUCUAGUACAUAUGAGUUUUUUGUUUGAUUGUGGGUAGGAUAUUGUUUAUUUCUUACGAAAUUGGGUUUAUGUUGUGAUGCCCGGUGAAGCUCCUAGAAGUGUGGUGGGAGUAACACUGGUACUUACCCAGUAAAGCUCUUUAAGAAUAGAGUGGUGGAGGGUGUAUACUUGCCUGGUGAAACUCCAAGAGAGUGGUGGGGAGUGUAUAUUUGCUCGGUGAAGCUCUAAGAGAGUGGUGGGAAGUGAUGUACAUGCCGGUGAAGCCUUCCAGGGAGUGGUGGGAAAUGUUGUGGUUUAAUGGUGUAGUAGAGUCUAAUGGCCCAGUGAAGCUCUUUAAUAGAGUGGUAGGAGGUAACACUCAACCUAAUAGUUGUAUGUGAGUAACCCAGUGGUGAUCCAAUAUAUAGAGUGAAUGGUUUCAACAAACUAAGGUAUGAAUUGGUGAAUGACUGAGGGAGUCUAGAUGUGAAUUGAUGACUUUGAAUUCUGGCAAUGUAGUUGUUAAUGAUUUAAUGUGAUGUCAUGUGAAGAUGUGUGUUGUAGAGGAGUUACUAUUGGUAGUUGUUUAUUACUUAUGUAUGUUAUAUAACUUGUUUAAGUUAACUCACCUUUUCAUGUUGUGAUUAUGGUUUCCAUCUAUGAUGAUCGUACUUGUACUGGAGUAAAUGGCGUUGCAGAUAAAGACCGGAUCGAAGUAGCUGACAAGAGUUGGGAUUUAAGUUCAGGGAUUUUAUUAUUGGUUUCUAUUAUUGAAAAUUUUUCAGACUUGAUAUUUUUAUGUAAAAGAAAUAUUCUAAGAUUUCCAGACAACAUUUAUGGUUAUGUUUUGCUUACGCAUUUUUAAUCAAAUAAAAUUUUUUAUCUUUCAUAAAUGUUUUAUGGAAAUAUCGUGUUUCGAGAAAGAAAUAAAUUUGCACCAUGACAUCUCAAAUAUGGGGUGUUACACUAGUUGAGUUGUUGGUGGUGUAACAUCCCAAUUCAGGAUGUCACAAGACGUGAUAAAAUCGAAAUUAUCUAAACUCUAUUAAUGGGAAAAACAAUAUUCAUAGAAAACUUUGAGAGGAAAUAAAACAAAGUCAUAACUGUUAAAAAAUAUUAUCCAAUUACAUAGUUCUAAAAUUUAUAAAAGAAAUAAACAACUUAAAUGAAAAACCCAAGUCUUCCCCGUCCUCUCUUGUCUUUAUUCUGCAUCAGAAAUAUAUGUAACAACCACUGCUCCAGUAUAACCAAAAUUCAUACAACCAACGCUCAAACAAAAAUAAAAUCAAGAAUAGGGUAAGCUACCGUUAAAACAACAAAUGACAACAAGAACAAAAGCAUGGCAAAUAAGCAAACAAGUUGGAGCCAGGCGAAACAUUAAUCCCUUCUCCACUAUCUCGCAUAAGCGAGAGAGUACAACACUAGAACCUCAUUCUCUUCUCGCACCGCACGGUCAAAGAGAACCUCUUUCCAGCAUCACACGGUCGAAGAAAACCUCUUUUCCACCACAAGUAGACACGUCCACCACAUCAACAUACCUCUUCAUUAAUAACAUAAUGUGAUAAUAUACAAUCACCCUAGCAUGCUUCAUCAUUAACUAAGAGCCAUCCACAAACCCAAAAAUGACAACCAGCUCGACUUCCUCUGAAAACAUCUCAACAUGAAGUCUAUCACAUUGACAUCCUCGUCCAUCUUUUGGCAUGCCUCAACUUUCAGAAAAUACAUUGGGAUAAUCGAUUAUCAGUAGUGAUAAUCGAUUAUCUUAGUAAGACUAAGGAGACAAGGUUCUCUGGGAUAAUCAACUAUUCCCGUAAGACCAGGAAUACUAAUGUUUUCUUGAAUAAUAAGGUUCACUGGGAUAAUCGAUUAUCACUAGGGAUAAUCGAUUACUCUAGUAGCAUAACUCUAGAUCAAAAUCGUGGAUAAUGUCAGAGUAGUGUGGCAGAAUGGUUAGCGUGAACAACAAACCAAGAGGGGGUGAAUUGGUUUCUUAUCGCAAAUUCAUGCCUUUAAUAAUUCUCUCUUAUUUUAAUUUCUUAGCGAUAAAUUUAAACAAAUAUAGAGAGUAAAAAGGAGAGAAAAUUGCACAGAUAAUUUUAUACUAGUUUAGGUCACAAGAAUCAUACGUCCAGUUGCUAAUCCCAAACAGAGAUUAAUGUUCCAUUAUCACAAAACCAGCAAACUGUUACAAUCACAAAGAAAUACAAGUUUAAGGUUUAGAAAGCACCUCCCGUUAUCCCAAGAGAUGAAACUCGCUUCCCUUGAAACCCAAAAUGGAUGAACACAUCCUCCAAAUGCUUCACGAAGAAUGACCAUCUCCUUUGAAUCUUCACAAAGGAUGAACACCUCCUUUGAAUCAUCACAAAGGAUGACAAGCUUUUAACUCAACAACAGUAAUAACACUCAACCACACUCCCAGUUAAAGUUCUCGCUCUAUGCCAACACACCAAGUUCUCAAAGCCAUAACACAAGGGUUACACAAACCCUAAAACAAUUAUCCCCGCACACAAUAGAUAAGAAUUUCGAAAUACACAUAUUUUGUAUGUUGUAUUUUAGAGUGAGAGUCCCAAUGAAAUUUAUAGAGAUCUCACUCAAGGAUAACUCCAAAAAUCUGUUGUCGGUUAUUUAGCGUGUAAUAAUCGAUUAUCUAGAUAUGGUAAUCGAUUGUGCAUCAAUGAAUGCAUAACAGUAAAAAACUUGUUUGAAAAAACUCAUAAUUGCUCGUGAUAAUCGAUAUGGCAAGUCAUAAUCGAUUAUUGAUAAUUGAUUAUCAUAAGUGGUAAUCGAUUAUCUUGAGUAUAAAAUGAGGUUUUCUGAUUCCAAAUGAUUUUUAACGUAAUAUAAAGCAAACAAUAGACAUAAUCAAAUAUAAACCACAUCUUAUAUGUCAAUCUACUAAAUUUCAAAAGUUUUAAUACAAAACAAGUCUUCUUGAAGAUCUUCCUGCAAUAAGAGCACUUGAAACUUGACUUUGAGACAUCAUCAAAAUUUCAACUCUUCAGCUUUAUGAUAACAAUAUUAGGUAACUUUCACGAAAACAUUUGGUGCGAAGAUGAAAAUGUACUCAUGUAUGACAUCAAAUGCCAUAGUUUUCGAUGUCAAAGGUAUAAGACGUUAGAAUAUCAUUUUUUUCAUACUUUAUUCACUUUAGCUUUGAAUGAAACUCUCUUCUCUACUCAAACCCUUCUUGGACGAAGCUUUCAGCAACGAACACAUGUAAUCUUUCUUUCAUUUUAUACAAAUGCACGUUGAUUAACUACUUUAGUUAUGAUAUUCUUUCCUUUUGACCAAUUGAUUUUGUGCAAAAGUACCCUUUAGAGGAUGGAAGUGUUCUCCUUUCUCUCUCACUAGCGACAACACUUUAUUCUGGCGAACCCACCCUCAAGAAGGUUAGUUUCAUUUUCAUUUUUUUAUGGGCUAUAAAUUGGUUGAAUCUAUUGGUGUUGUUGAUAUUGAUAUUGUUGAACUUGCUUGUUAUUCAUACACCAUAUACAUCCAAACUUAGGGUAAAACUGAGAGUAUAUUCAAAACUACUCUAAUGACCUAAAAAUUUGUUCAACGCACCAAAAUAUCAUGAGAAACCCUCACAAAAAGUUUUAGAUCAAAAUUCAAAGUCUAAGUAGGUGAUUUAUUUUUGCAAAGUUUGAAAAAGAAAUUGACAAAAAAAUAGAAAAGACAUUCUUUUGAAAAUCUAGAAGGAACAGCUGGCUACAUCGCCACAUGAUUGAAUAUUUUUUCUAUCCCAAAUCAAUAUAUAAUACUGUCAAAUUGGCAAAUCGGAGCAACUGUUAUGGUCUUCUAAAGACCUGUUACAAUUGACUUUUCAAAUAGCUUUUAUACUUCAUAAAGAUCCAAAGUAAGGCUCCUGGGAUUUUUACCUCAAAUAGGGAUUCUAAGGAGUGGUAAACAAAAAAUUCAACCAAAAAAAAAAGAUACCCAUAGCUACCAAAACCAAAAAUAAAAAAUUAAUAGUCAAUAUACACUACUAUUCAUUGUAACAUCAUUCACUUGUAAUAACUUUUGUUUAUAGUUCAUACUCCAUAGUUAACAACUGGAUCUAUAAAAUGUCAAAACUAGACAACAUUUGUUAGACAACAUUUGUUGGUUUCUGCUUUUCAGGUCUCGUAAAGUUGUAAACAUGGAUCACUAUUUAUUAAAAAAACAAAGAAGUUGAUUGAUGUCGAAAAAGGAAAAAAAUGACGUUAAUUGGCAAUUUCCAACGUCAAUUAACGUCGAAAAAUGCAUGCAACUUUUGACAUCAAUCAACGUCAUCUUUUUUUCGAUGUUAAUUAACGUCUCCCGAUAUGAUGUCAAUAUUUUUUAAACAUUAAAGGUCGAAAAACACCGAUGUCAAAGCAUUUUUUUUUUCAUUAGUAAGAAGUACAAUACUUGUUAAUUUAGUGUUACGUAUUGAGUAGGUAAUCUAUUAUUGAAGUCAUCUUAACUCUACUAAGCUCACUGAAUCAUAUAAAAGAAUGAAUUUUAUGUGAUGAGAAUUGAUAGAGGUACUUACUAAGAGGAUUAUAAGUAAAUUUACCCUCUCAGUGUAUAAAUGAGACUUUGUAAAUUUAAGCUAGUUGUGACACUUUUUAUUUAUGAUUAUAUGAUAAGUGCAUGAUUUCAUGAGUAUAAUUUAAUGAAUAAAUUCCUUUAUAAUAUGGUUUAUGUUGUUAUGAAUGAUGUAAGAUAAAAAAAAAUUGUGUGGUUGGGAGGUUAAGCAUAAAAAUAAUAAAUUAGGAAAUAAGAUGUUAACAAAAGUGAUGUGUAGCUGAAUUAGUGAGAAUUCUUUUUUAUAGGUUAAUGAACUUGUGUUGAAUCCUUGUUAAGUGCAUAAAAUGUGUUUGUUUUUUUAUUCUAUUAUUUGACGUGGAAUGUGGGUGUCCUGUUGUUAUUAUUAUGGUCUAUGUGGUAUGAUGUUUUGCUUUUAAUUUAAGGAUAGUGUCUUUGAACCUUGGCUAGACUAAAAAUAGGUUUAGUUCUUUUCUAGUUUGGUGGUAGACAGAUACAUCGAACCUAAGCAUAAGAACUUGGAAGAACAGAAGAUUAACGCAAAAUUAAUUUGUUAAUGAAACAAUUACAGGGUAAGUGUUAUGUUGUUUAGGAAAAAGGGUAACCUAACGUUUGUGAGUGUGAAUGCAAGCAAAGGAGGAUUGUGGAAUUAAGAGCAUCAAAUCAAGAACUGAUAGUUAUUAUCUGGAGAAGAGGUAAUGGGUGCUAAGCCUUGUCUUUAAUUCUGUGAACGAUGAUGUCUUCAUGUAAAUGAGUGGACGUGUUCUCUGUUUUUUUGUGAGUGUUGGGUUCUUGAAGAAGAGAAGAUGAAGGAGAUUGGGGAUGAGUAGUCAUGGAUAUGGUGAGGGAAAGUGAAGAAGAAGAAGAAAAUUGGAAGAGAGAUGAGGUAAAAUGGAAGUCACGUCAGAAAAAAUAGGACCCUAUGCUGGUAAUUAUUUAAACCGUAUUAUCCAAAAGAACAAAAUUGAGACAAAAAUAACGAAAAUAAAUUAAAACUACAUUGAUCAAACUCAAGAAAAAUGUGAACUAAAACAGUAUUUAAGUUUUAUAAUAAUAUAGUGACUUUUACACCAGUUCACGGUGGUUUGAUGAAGAAAUUACUUUUGCUCGAACGAAAAUUUUUCUUAAUAAAGGCCAACAUGUAUCCUGAUUAUUCCAAAAUUCUUGCACUCAAUUUGAAAAGUGUAUAAUUGGUGCAACAGGAACGAACAGAGAAAAACAGAUAUAAAACAAACAAUAAGAAUCUUCAGCAAAAUUUCUAGGUUUUCUUUUCAUUAAAGAUCAAAGAAUUUGUUUGAAGAAUAAAAUGUUUACAAUGCUUAAUAUAACAAAUAAAACUUUAGUUCUCUAUCUAACAAAGUUACUUACUACAAAUAACCACAACAGAGUUAUUUACUGUCUUACUGAUAUCUGUGAUGUUACGUGAGAACUUUUAAGGCCCAACAUGAAUAACUGAUCUUCUCUUAGCAUUCUCUACAUUUGUAAUUCCAACACAAUGUCUUUUGGUCAUAAGUAUUACCUCUUCUCAUGAUCAUCUUAACCAAAAUUCAUGAUUACCCCACUUCAGUUCAAUGGUGAUAUCUACAUGUUGGAUUUCCUCUCCCACCUGUUCUUGGUGUCAAGCCUACAAAAUAUUAUUAACACAUAAAAUGAUUGUGAAUUGCUCACAUGGCAAAGCAAACAAGCAAAAUAUCCAUAUAUAUACAUAGAUAGAGCAGAAUUACAAUACUAUAAAACACAACCAGUGCUAUGUAAUGUCAAUGCAGAGAUUAACCAUAGCUACUGAUGUGAUAAGUUAACAACCCAAUAGGUGUGAUUCAGCUGGCAACACAAGAGGGUUUGUGGAACUUAAGAUCAAUUAUAACAAAAACACAGUUUUGGGAGGGUCGAGGAAUCUUCACUAUAAUCAAACUCCAGAUCAAAAUUGAAGAUUAGUUUCAUAAUCAAUCCACAGAGCUUGAGAAAAUACCUCAAGCUGCCAACAGGAAGUUUAAUGCCCUAAUUACGGUUGUUAACAAAAAAAAAAAAAGUGACUAAAUCUCGACAACUUUUCACAUAACCGACCGAUGAAUCAAAACCUGUGAGAAUAUCUUAAGGUCUCACCUGGGUGACCAAAGCCCUAAUUAUAAUGAUUAGAGAAUUGACAAGGAUUAACUAUUGCAAACUGAGAUCUAUCAACUAAAGUGUUAUUAUCUAUACAUACCCCCAAUGCAAUUUUCGCUUAUUUGGCGCAGAAAUCAUAGGCAUAUUAUCCUUUGCUUCUUCAUUUCUAGAAUCAAUUCCUUCACAAUCAUUCCAGUAACCGGAUUCCUUGGGAUCAAUUUUUGAACCUUGAGCUACGCUAUCUUGGCUACAUAAAUCAUCACCAUGUGACUUUUUGUUAGCCCCGUCUGCAGAACCAUUGACGGAAUUAGAACAUCAUAAAUUAAUGAACCAUUACAAUUAAGCGGGGAAAAAGAAAGAAAGAAACCUUUGGAUUUUAGUUUGAACUUUGAUUUUGAUUUCACUUGCAAGCGCCUCUUGUGUAGUUCCUAUCACAGUCCAAUGUUCAGACAACGUUAACACAGAAGAACACCAACAAUCAAACGCAGUAGUAAAACUACAUAUACCCAUGUUUCAAAAUGUUGAAAAAAUCUAAAAUUGUCAAUAGUUUUGAACGUGGGAAGUGUAAAGAAUGACGAAAAGUGAAUUGGAUUGAAGAGGGUACUCACACGAAAUUUUUCGAGCUGGUGCUGCGUAACGCCUUUAGGUUUGAAAUUAGGUCGGAGGCAGGGCGUGGAUGCGAUUGCAGCUUCUCUUCUACGAUCCUCUUCUUCCUUUUCCAUUCUCUUUUCCCUUUCAUCACCUUUCGUAUAGUUCUCUCAAAUGCAUAUAAUCAUCAUUUGAAUAAGAAUACUCGUUUAGAAUAUUGGAUUCAGAUUUUAAAAAGAUUAUUUUGAUAUAAAACUUUCAUAUGAAUUUCUAAAGUAACAUCCAUAAGAAUAAGAAUAGAAGGACUUUUUUUUUUUUUUUUAUUUAGACGUGAAAAUGGGUAACCCGGGUGAAAAUGGGUAACCCGGUUGUGCUCUGGUUAUUUUGUGAGUGAAUUUAAAUUGGUUCGUUUAUCAGUGAGUUAGAAAAAUUCAAACUCGAUUUUAACCAUCACGAUGGAUAAACGAGUUGGUUGAUUUAUUUAAUUACAAUUUUUUUAAAUAAAAUAAUAAUGUAAAUAUCUUUUUAUAAAGUUAAAAUUAAAUUUUAAUAAAAUAAAAUUAGGUAGGUGGGUUGGUGGGCUAACUCGUGGUAAAUCGGAUGGACGUGCGGGUUGUGGUCCAUUUUAAAAGCUCUAAUAUUUUUUUCUUCAUAAAAAUAUAAUUUUAAAAAAUUUAUGUUUAUAUUGUAAAACUUUUAAAAAUUUGAAAAGAUUUUUGUGAAAUAAAAUUAUUAAUUGAUUUUUUUAUUACAUCUCUAUAUUUCAUAUUUAAAAGUUUCAUAAGGAAAUUAUUAUUAUUCCUUAUAUUCUUUUACACGUUUUCUUUUACUCGAACUUUAUACUCUUAUAAGAUAUUACUGAAAUACAUCUAAUUUAUAUCUCGAGAACGAAAAUUUAUGCUAAUAACCAUAAUGAAUAUAUUAGUUUCGUUAAUACGGUAUACGAUUAACUAGUUAAAAUAUAGUAAAAGAUGGUUAAUUAUAUUUUUAAGAUUUGAAGGAAAUAUUUUGUAAUAUAUUAUCUAGAGAUGCAUAAUUAGACAACAAUUUCACUUUACAGAUACAUUAUCUAAUAUUUUUCUUAAAGAUUGCAUCUAAUGAAGAAAGUUAGACGCACUUCAUAUUUGAUCGAUAGGCCAUCUAAACGGUUUUUCAAAACUUAUUUUUUUUUUUCAAAUAUCUAAUUAUACAAUAAAUUUUAAUUCAAUAACAUAUAAUUUAAAGAGAAAAGGGAUAAAAGUGAUAUACAUUAUGUUUCCAUAAUGGUUCAUAUGUUAACAAAGAUAACGUUAAAUUUCCAAUCAAUUGAUUGAAUUUUAUCAAACUGAGAUACUAGUUUAUUAUUAUUUGAAAUGGAGUGAUUAUUUAUUAAGAUUAAGUAUUAUUUAGAAUUAAAAUAGAGUAUUAUUUAAAUUACAUUUAUUUUUGACUAAGAAUAUGUUUUGUUCAUUGUAGUUCAUAUAAUUGAAUCUUUGUUUUAAAUUGUUCUUGUGGAGCUCCAAACGUAUUUGGUAAAGAUGAUUUCACAGACUUUUUCAAUCUUUUAUGUAUCAAGUGGGUUUUCAUCUAUCUUUUCCUUGGUGUUCGUCCUCAACGUAGGAUAGUGAUGUGUUUGCAAAAGACAUGUUAACACUCAAGUUAGUAGGGUGUGUCAGAUAAUAGUCAAUGUUGUAAAAAUGAAUGUCCCCUAUUUACCUCGACGAGUGUAUUAUUUAUAGGAUAGUUAUAAGUUUGCAAGCCAUCACCUAUAUGGACCUAGGUGGGUCAUGACCCAUUUACCUCAUGAGUCAACAUCUGAUUCAGAAUGUACUAAGUUAAAAAAUAAUAUGUCAUUAAAGAAUGUGAGGUCAGGUUAGGGCCAAGUAGAAACAGUCUGACUUAUGCCUGGGUAGAUUAGCUCAGCUUGUGCCCGAGUAGCAUUAGCUCGUAAACAUUAGAUCAACCCCCAAAUUUUCUCAUGACUUGAAGGCACACUAAUACAAAAAUAUCGUAUAACGUCGUUGUUUUUUGGCCUUUCACAUCGAAUUUGAGGUUGACGUCAUAUCGGGAGACGUUAAAUUGACGUCGAAUUUAAAAAAUUUGACGCUAAUCAAAUUGACGUCGAAUUUAAAAAAUUCGACAUUAAUCAAAUUGACGUCGAAUUUUUUUAAUAUUCCAUGUUAAGCAAUUUUUUUUUUGUUUUUCUUUUAAUUAAUUGUGAUCUUUUUUACAACUCUAUGAGACCUGAAAAGCAAAAAAACAACAAAUUUCAGUUUUUGGUGUUUUAUAAAGCAUGAACUGUGAAUGUUUAGUAUAAUAUCAAUAACAACAACAAACAACAAACAAGUUCAAUCAAACAACAAUAACAAACGAGUUCAACCAAAUAACAACAACAAACAAUUUAAAAAAACACAACAAGCAAGUUCAACAAAUAAGUUCUUCAAAACAAAAAUGAAAACUAACCUUCAAAAGGUGGGUUCGUCGUAAUAAAGUGUUUCCACCAGUGAGAUAGAAAGCAGAAUGCACCUAUGAAGGACAAGAACACCAAAAUAAUCGGUCAAAACAAAUGAAAAUCAUACAUAAAGUAGUUAAUUAACAUACAUUUGUAUCAAAUGAAAGAAACAUGUGAUGGUCAUCAAACUUUGUUCGAGAAAAGUUUGAGAAGAGAAGAAAGUCUCGCGCGCUAAGAUAAAGUGAAUGAAUUUUCAAUCUCUCGCUCAAAUUAAAAAAGAGAAACUUUUGGUUGACAAAUGAUACAUAGAAGCUCCUACAUAAUUCGACGUUUUAUUGGUAGUUUAAAAGAAAAAAGAAUUAAAAAGGGGUAACUCUUUGGCUUCUGGCUGAAAAGUAAUACGUCGAAGGCCCUACAGAACCAACAUAUUAUAUGUGGUUUAAAAGAAAAAAGAAAAAAAGAAUUAAAAAGGAGUUACUUUCAGGCUUUUGGCUGACAAAUAAUACGUUGAAGCCUCUACAGAAUUCGAUGUACUAAUGGUGGUUUAAAAGAAAAGAAAGAGAAUGAUGUGCUGCUUUAAAAUGUCACUGAUAAUUUUCAACGUUGGUUAUUCAGUGGUUGGACGUUGAACGCGUGACGUUAUACGUUGUUUUUGCACUAGUGGCAUAUGAAAAGCUUUAAUAGGUUCAGUACAACAAUUGUAGUUGGUUGUUAAUUGACUUACAAAACAUGAGAAUUGGUUCUCGGUAAUCGUUUUAUACCUAUGGAGAGUACAUGCAAAGAAAAGGAAAGAAAAAUUUAUACUUUGCAAAGAAAAAUUUAUAUUUUGUAAAGAAAAAUUUAUAUUUUGUAAAGAAAAUCGUAUAUUUUGCAAAGAAAAUUUAUAUCUUUAUCAAUAACCUUAUAGGUAUAGUAGCCCCAAACCUCGAGGAGCGUAACGACGAAGAGGUUUGAAUGAUGGGAUGUAGGUAGGCGACAGGGUAUAUGGAAGGUUUAACCAAGGUUGUUGAAUAAGUGGUAGAUACUGCAUGGAAGGUUCAACCUCAACCGACUAGGUAGGCGACAAGGAACUACAUUAGAAGGUUUGACCUAGACCGAUUAGGUAGUUGACAGGGAAUUAUAUGAAAGGUUCGACCUAGACCUUCAGAUAGGCAACAAGGAACUACAUGAAAGGUUCGACCUGGACCAUCAGGUAGGUGGCAGGGAACUACAUCGAAACGUUCAAACUAAACUAUUGGGUAUGUAUUAGGAAAUUAUAUGGAAGGUUUGACCUAGAUCGUCGUGUAGGCGACAUGGAACUGAAUUGAAAGGUUCAACCUAGACUUUCAGGUAGGCAAUAAGGAACUACAUGAAAGGUUCGACUUGGACUAUUGGGUAGGCAACAUGGAACUGAAUUGAAAGGUUCAACCUAGACUUCCAGGUAGGCAAUAAGGAACUACAUGAAAGGUUCGACUUGGAUUGUUGGGUAGGCGGCAGGAAACUGCAUUGAAAGGUUUGACCUGCACCGUCGGGUAGGCGACAAGAAACUACAUGAAAGGUUCAACUAAGCUGAGUAUCAUAAAAGGAAAAGAAGUAGUGUCUUGUAGUGGAAUCUCAAACUAUGCAUGGUUUCAAGGCAUUGAAAAUGAAAAGUAAGCAACUAGUGUGUUCAUUAUAAGAAAAUUAAUUGACAUUCACCUUGUGGUCGUGGGUUCGAGUCCAACGAUAGGCAUAAAUUAUUCUUGCAGAGCUAAAUGUACCUUGUGAAGAUGACCUACAUGGACUUCUUCAAUCUUCUAUGCAUCAAGUUGGUUUCCUUUAGCCCUUCCCUUGGUGCUCGUCCUCCAUGGAUGGAUGGUGAAAUGCAUACAAAAGAUACUUUGAUGCCCAAGUUAAUAGGGUGCUUUAGAUAGUAGUCAAUGCUAUAAAAAUGAAUAUCCCCUAUUUACCUCGAUGGGGACCUGGAGGGGACAUGACCCAUUUACCUCAUGAGUCAGUUGUCUGAUUCAAAAUGUGCAAAGUUAAAGAAUAAUACGUCGUUAGAGUACGUGGGGCUAGUAGAAACAGACCGACUUAUGCUCGGGUAGAUUAGGUCGGGUUGUGCCCAGGUAGCAUCAAGCCCCGUGUAUAAUACAAACACCAUAAAAAAGUCCUUGUGAACCUAGAAAAAUCAUUCAUAACAAAUUCAUAGUAAUUUCUUUCAAUACUUAUGGUUCUUUGAGGUCUUGUAGUUAAAACAUAAUUUUUCAGUUUAAAAGAAACUUACAUAACAUUUCUUUUAUUUAUUUUGUACCAAUUGAUUAUGGGCACAUAAAGAGGAAGAAAGGUUUAUGUUGUUAAAUUAAAUGAGUCCUAUCAAUCAAUAAGGUUUUGAUAAUAACAAAACAUUAUAUCAAAAGUGAAACUAUGAUUUGAUAAAUAAACCUUUGCAUUAAUGAUCAAGACUUUAUCACCAACUAAUGCAUAUCGAUGCAUGUUUACCAUGUAACAACAUUAGAUUAUCAAAUUGGAUAUAUAACUUAGAUCAUUUUUUUCCUAAUUUAAGUUAUAUGAGUGAUCAAUUUAUCAAGCAAUACGAAGCAAAUUAAAGAACUAACAUAUGAAAGAGUACUUGUGUUAGAAAAGUAGCCCCUAUAUGAUGGCAUACCCCCUAGUCAUGGACAAGAAAUUAAAAUGAGAGUUGAAGUCAUAUGUAAAAGAUGGGUCUAGACUCUUUAUCAUCAUUCCAACAAUUUCCAUGCCAUCUCUACUAAUUUUAGCCCAACCUAGCUAGGAGGAGUGCUAUCACUUCUUAUCCAAUAAAGUCAUGGAGGAGGUCUCAUGGGCCAUUAUGGUGUUGAUAAAACCCUUACUCUUCUGAAAAUCAAUUUUUAUUGUUCACACAUGAGAGUGGAUGUUUAGAAGCAUUAUUCCUUGGGAGGACAUUAACAUAGACUUUGCCCUAGGUUGAUCAAGAACCCAAAGGGGCUAUGAUUCUAUCUUUGUGGUAGUGGAUCGUUUUAGUAAAAUGGAUCACAUUAUACCCUACGACAAGAUAUAUGAUGCUAGCUAUAACUCAAGACUCUUUUUUAAAGAAGUUGUUAGGUUGCAUGAUCUAUCGAAAAAUAUAGUGUCCAAUAGGAAUGCUAAGUUCCUUAUCCAUUUUUGGAACACUUCAUAGGAAAAGCGAAGAACUAAACUCUUGUUCUCUACCGCAUAUCACCCACAAACUAAUGGGUAAGUUGAGGUAGCAAAUAGAUUCAUAUCUACUCUAUUGAAGGUCAUUCUUAGAGGAAAUAAAAAGACUUAGGAUUAACAUCUUCCCCAUGUAGAAUUUGCUUAUAAUGCAGUAGUCCACAAGAAUACCGACCUUUCUCUUUUUGAGGUUGUUUACAGUUUUAACCUUAUCACACCUCUUGAUUUACUACCUCUUCCAGAAACAACUUCUUUAUCACAUAAAGAAGGAGUGUAUAAAGUGAAGUUUAUUAAGAAAUUGCAUAAGAAGGUCACAAACCAAAUUGAAAAACAAACUAAAAAAUACACUGAAUAUGACAACAAAGGGAGAAAUAAAAUUGGUUUUUAGGAAGGAGACUUAGUUUGGCUUCACUUAAGAAAGGAUCACUUUUUUUCUUAAAGAAAGUCUAAACUUAGUCUUAGAGGAGAUGGUCCAUUCAAAGUGGUCUAGAAAAUAAAUGAUAUUGCAUAUAGGUUAGAACUUCCCAUUGAAUAUGGUGAGUCCCACUUCUAUUGUUUGUGACUUAAUUCCUUUCUUAGGUGUUGUUGAAUAUGAAGAAGAAGAAGAUCUAAGGACAAAUCCUUUUCAAGAGGUAGGGUAUGAUAGAGGACCAUCUAGAUGAAGCCACAUUGGACCUUUACAAGAGUUAUGGCUAGGACAAUGGGAGAGGAAGAAGGACAUCAAAGAACUCUGCUUUUAUGGAGGAUAGUUUAUUAGCUUAUCUUCCCUUCUCUUAAGUCUUGUAAAUAUGUAAAUAAAUCUUUUCCUUAAGCCUUGUAUUUAGGCCAAGGUUUCAUUUAAUUUAGGCUUGUUUUUUUGCCAUUUCUUUGGAUUACUCACUAAAGUAAUUGAUUAUUUCAUCCAAUAACUAAUUAUUGUAGUUGGUUUUUGACAAAACAUUAGUUUUGGACUUUUAAACUUGCUUCUUGAGUGGAAUACGAACCAAGUGGGUUUUUGGGCUUGCUUGGGCCUUAAGGAACCCUUAGAAAUCUUGCUUAAAGGUGAAGGGACAUUGUGCGUGCAUCUACUCAUGAAGAGAAUUUCUACCAAAAUUUAUAAUCUCCCUUUCCUAAGUUCAUUAGGAUAGCUAUCUUCUUAACUUCUCCUUUUCUUUGCCUUGAUGGUUAGCUUAACCUCCUUCAGGAAACACUCCAGGAAACCUGCAUUUGAAGGGUUUCCAUCAAGGCAUCUGUAGUUAACUGCAUUAAAGGUUCAUCCAUGACCACUUAGGUAGGCAGUAAAGAACUGUAUUGAAGGUUCAAAUAGGGUCACCUAGGUAGGUGGAAGGGAAUUGUAUUGAAGGUUCAACCUAGACUGUUUGGGUAGGCUACAUGGAACUUUCUUUCUAAAAAUAUCAUAUAAAUUUGUGACAAGUUAAAGUGUAAGAUGAACAUGCAUAUAGAAAUAAUCUUUUCUUUUAUUGAUUAAAUGCCUCAUUAAAACCUUCUUGUCCAAAAUCCUCCUUAGGGAAAAAUGUCCAAGUAAGGAAAGAAUACAUUAUAGGUUACAAUCUUCCAUCUAUUUACUAGUACCUAGAUGAAAUAAAACUUUAAAUGGGUUAUAUUCCAAAUAUUGGGUAUACGAUGCCUUAACAAGUAUUCUAAGCGGUACGCGCCUUUGUCAAUAUCUUGAUCUACUCGAAAAGCUUUUUCCCAAUUGGCGGAGAGCUUGCCAUCUAUUUUUCUAGCCUUACUAGUGACAUGUCACACUAAGCUACCUUUUCUGAAGGCUUUUGGCUAUAAUUUGGAGUUGUAUUUCCUGGUAGUCCUCUGCUUGGUAGCCAUUUCACAAAUAUGGACCUUUUCUCAGUUUUCAACUAACAAUUAUAGGCUUAUGUUAAGGAAGUCUUCAUAGUAUCUUAUCAGAUGUCCCACUAUUAACUGUGAAUGGGUCUGGCAUAUUAGUUUAUUUCCUCACACUUCAUUAGCUAGAGUAAAGUCGACUAUAAUGACCUCAUAUUCGGGUUGCUUAUUGGAUGUCUUGAAAUUGAACUAUAACGACUUCUCUAUCAACACGUCACUUUUUCUUUAAAGGACUAUACCGACUCUUGCCCCUUAGGAUUAGAAGAUCUGUCUAUGUAUAAGGUCCACCACUCUUCCUCUAAAACAUCCUCACCUUAUAGUUCACCAAAAAACUCUACUAAACAUUGUGCUUUUAUAGGCUUUUUCAAAUUAUAUUGAAUGAUAAAUUCUGACAAUUCCACAGACCGUGACGACAUCCAUUCUACUAGGUUCAACUUUUGCAAGAUCUUUUAUAUUGGGUACUUGGUUUCAUGACUAUAGUAUGGCUUUGGAAAUAAGGUCUCAACCUUCUUGUUGUGGUAACAAGGGACGAUGCCAUUUUCUCCACCAUCUAGUAUUUGGUUUUGACAUCUUGAAGGGUCGUAUAUAUGAAGUAUACAAGCUUUUGGUUAUUAUCAGUCUCUUGAACAAGAGUGGCAUUGAUGGCCUCUGUAGUAGCCAUUAUGUAGACCAAAAUUGGUUGAGUAGUAUCUGGCUUGCACAAGAUUGGGGAGAGAUGUCAAUAUUUGUUUGAGAUGCUUGAACCUAUCCUAUCAUUGGCCAUCCAAGAUUAACUUCACAAACUUCUUCAGCAAUUUUAUCAUUAGCCUGGUUUUUCCCAUUAACUUGGGAGGAAAUAGGAGAUGAUUGUUAACCUUCCAAUGAGACUUUGGAUCUCUUUGACAUUCUUAGGCCUCUUCAUAUCAAUCACAACCUAGUAUUUUUAAGGCUUCGCCUUUAUCCCUCUAUGUGAGAGCAUGAAUCCCAAGACCUUGCCACCAUCGAUCCUAAACACACAUUAGGGAAAUCUUAUCAAUGAUUUCUAUGAGGAAAUUUGUAUAAAGUGGUUUGAGGAAAACUCUAACUAGAAAAGGUAAGGUUCUUAAAUUCAUUGAUUGUUACUUAUCUUUCUUUCUUGAGAAUGUACUUAGUAAACCUUCAACUAUACUUUCCUAUGGAAAUUUCUAUGCACCCCAUAAGAACUAAUUUAGGUGGUACCAGUAUCAACUUACACCAUCCUUCAUUAAAAGCCCAAAAUUUCACCACAAUUAUUUUUAGAGGAAAAAGGAAAUUACCUACUAAUAGUACUUUCAAUACAACACUUUGACAAAGAACAUAACAAGGAGGAUCAUGAAAUUGAUCUAAACUUCAAACAUGAAAUACAAGAAGAGUCUCAAAUAUGAGAAUAGGUAGCAAAGCAAAAAGUUACACAAUGAUACAACAUGCAAGUAAAAGAAUGUACUUAAGCUUAGUGAGGCGACAAAAGAUAAACUUGAAAAUCCUCACAAUGCUACUUCAUUAGGGUCUUUCAACUUUUGACAUCAAUCAAAGACAACUAGCAAUACCUUUAACUAGAGAUGACAACAUUGCACAGGGAGGAUUAGGAAGUGAUUGAUCUUAUCCUUAGUCAAAAGUUAAAGACUCAACUCGAGUACCAAAAUUCCAUACUCAAAGUUCAAAUUAGGAAGUGUUUUAAAUAUGGGGUCGAGCUCAAAGGUUUACCACUCCACGAGUUACUAAGGGUCUGAAUGCUUAUCCUUACAUCAUCGCCAUUUAGUUUAUGGGCCAAAAUCGUUCGAUCUCAACACUAGUACAUGGUUGUACUUGUGGCCUGCCUAACCGUUGGGACGUCCGGUCUAAUGUUGACCGGAUGGUCAUACGGUACAAAGGUCCCCCAAGCCGAAGCAUAUUGUGUUAGGCUAAGGGAUUUAUGGUAAAGGCUAUCUUGGGUGCAACCGUGGGAGCAUUCCCCUUUUAUGGCCAAUCGCCUAACUAGGUAGAACCACUUGUUGUGAUUCAUGGGGAUGUAACAAUUGGAUAAAGUUAUAACUAUUGGGAUAGGGACACAUAGCAUAUUGAUAUUCGUGCAUUCUGGAAAACAAAGAGUCAUACGUUGUGGAUUGUUAGAUCCAACUCAAUUUGAUAGUCGAGGGUGGCCUGUUAGGAUAUCCCUUUUGGCUAUAAAUAGCGGUGGGCCUCAGCGUCAUUUUCACCAUUUCUCCCAAUCUUUCUUGAAGAACCAAGCAUCCAUACAUCAUACUUUCAAGUAAUAAUGUCGAUCAGUCUUGUGUCUUCGUCUAAGGAGUCUAAAAGGAAAUGAGGCCAAGGAUACGCAAAUGAUGCUUCUUCGUCGUCCUUAGUGCCAUCAUCGAUUUGUUCCUCAAUCUUAGGAUCAACCGAACGGGAUGCGAAGUCGGGUGACGAAGCGACCAUUAUAAAUAGAAAUAAGUUUGUAUCCCAAGGUACUAAGGAGGUACUAAGCGAGCAUCCUCAAGUUGCUAAACAGGCAGUCUACAUUGGUAAGCUCCGUAUAAGAUGCCAAGUUCUUCAAACUUGUCGUUUGCAAGAGGGACGAGUGGGUCUUUCAUGGGAAAGGGGCAGUCUCUAAAGAUUUCUUCUACACCUACUCCUACCUCUUCAAGGACUUGUUUGUCUGGCUCCUGUUCAACAAGUUCCAGAUGGGCGUGUUGAGAGAGCUUAACCUUGUCCCUACCCAAGUCCAUUCAAACGGGUGGACGCUCGUGCAAGCCUUUGAGAUGUUGUGUUCGACCUUCUAUUUAACUCUCACUCUUCCUUCAUUUUUGCAUUAUUUCCAUACUCGCCUACACACCAGAAGGGUUUAGUUUUCCUUUAUUUGUAUGAAAGGGAAGUGGCUUUUCACGUUGUUUGUUGCUUCCUAUAUCGGGUUCAAGACAAGUUAUGUAAAGGUUGGGAUAAUAGAGGUCUGUUGGGCCAAGUUUUAUGGGGAGUCCAAUAGGCAAAAGUUUCCCUUUUAUUGGAUCAGGAACCCUCGAAGAAUAACUUCGUGGGCCAAGACCAGGAUGACAUCAAAGGAGUUGGAAGUGAUAGACAUUAUUGAUCAAUUGUCUCGUUGCCUCCUCUUUCGAAGUCUCAUUUGCCGUAUAGAGUCCAAAAACCUCUGUAAAUUGGUGUUUGGUAAGAUUUCAUUUUAUAUUUGUUUUAUAAUUCGUCAUUCUUGACUUGGCUAAAUUUUAUGUUUCCUUUCAGAAAUCACGUCUUCCCUGAAUCCAAACAAUUAAAUCUUUGUAAAGAUCUCCACUUGGUGUAAGGCUAGAGGUGAAGGUAUAUUUGAUGCCCAAACUACUGCACUAAUCACAACACAGUGUCCAAAAAUUGCGGAGAAGACAUGAUAACAAGCCCCCUAGGCUUGAUCAGAGGGCUUCUCGACCUAAUCAGAGAGCGACUUGAUUAUCCACUCCUAACAUCCUUCAACCUACACCCCUACGUUUGUUCCUUCAAUCGAGAGAAGGGGAAGAGGAAAUAUCACUGCGAGAAGUCUUAUUCCUCUAAAAAAGGAGUCCCCAUGAAGCAAGGCCUUCAAGUUCUCUACCCUUUGGGGCAUUCGACAUGAGCUUCCAAGUGAGGGCUAGAACAAACUUUGGUUAGCUUAGCAAUGAAAAUGGCUUGAUAAAAUAAUAUGUCACAACCUCCUUGGAGGAAAAAUUGGAUGUCUCUCAUGCCGACCUUAAUACUUCCUUGAGGGCCAACAAAUUCCUAACUGUCAUUUGUGUAAGGCAACCAAAGUGCAUUCCAACUAUGAAAGAACCUAGCAGAAUUCAAUGGCGAAGAUGGAGGAUGCCUACAAGGUCGUUUGGUAGCUCCAGCGAAAAAAUGAUGACUUAAAGUUAGAGUGUGAAAGGCUUACUCAAUAGUAGACUAAGCUUAUUUAAGAAUAGGACAAUCUGCAUCUGGAUGAUACAUCUGUAUCUGGUUAUAACUAGAAUACGCAUCCUAAAAACUAAGAAUUCGGUGGCCCAAGGCACCACCCACCAGUUCGUCAAUGCUUGGGAGAAGGUAAGCAUCCUUCGGGCAGACCUUGUUUAAAUCAAUGAAGUUUGGGCACAUCCUCCAUUGGUUGUUCGCCUUCUUGACCAUCACCACGUUUGUCAACCACAUGGUGUAGGUGACCUCUCGAAUAAAGCUUGCUUUGUGGAACUUCUUCACCUUGACUUCUAUGACUCUUAUUUUCUCCUCUUCGGGGCCUUCUCUUCUUCUAUGCAAUGUAAGACCUAGGAAAAUUAGGAAUAUUUAUAAAUAAUAUUUGUAUGAAUAUACCAUAUUUUAAAUGUGUUGGGUGAAUACAUGUAAUAUUGUAUAAGUGAUUGUUACUUUUUGUGAUGUUUGAGGGCUACCAAAGGAGUUAAAAUGCGUAUAUAUAUUAGUUUGUGAACCAUUUAUUAGUUUGGGUGUGUUGGCCCGAUGGUGGAUACGUUGAAUAAAGUUUUAUCCCAGACUACUGCGUUUGGGAAUUUAAUUUCCUUUAAAGCAGCAGUAUAGACCUUUGUGUGAUUGGGUUGCCUCAUGUGUGGUCUCCAAGCCAAGCUGCUGACGUCUUUGUCUUGGAGCUGUUGGGUUGGUUGUUGAGGCUGGUCAGAGUGGGAGUUGACCGAACUCUUUGGACUAGGCUAAGGUGUAGUUGUAGGGUGAACUUGAACUAGUGGUCUAAAAGGGGUUUGUUUUGAGUUUUUAUUGUUUUAAUAAGUGUGUAAGCACCAUUAAGUGCAUUUAUUUUUAAGCUCAUAGGCAGAGGUGUGACAAAUUUAGGUCAAUUUUAGGAGUAUAAAUACUUAAUUUAUGAGGAUUAGUCUCAUAACUACACCCUAGUAACCGUUGGAGAGUUUUCAGAGAGAGAAAUAGCUUUUCAAGUCUGUUAAGUUUAGUGCUAAGAGUUAGAAGUUUCUAAGAGAAAGGUUAGCUUAGGAUAAAGGUAAGGGGCACUAACCUUCAAUGUCUAUGAUUGAAUAAUUGUGUGUGAGUGCAUGUUCAACCUAUUUUGUGUGUAUGCCGUGAAGAUGGGAUCUCAUAAUCAUAAUAUUUGAGUUAUUUUCUCAAGCCCAACAUUAUUCUGUUGCAUGUGUUUUAUUGACUGGAAUAGGUUUGUAAGCUUCUAUGGUUUUAAUUGUGUAUUUGUGCAUGUGUUCAUAUUCAUGUUGCCUUGUAGGUGUCGUGAAGUUGUAUGAAUCUACUCAUAAUGGCUAUUUUUUCAUUCCAAAUGUCAUUGUGUUGCAUGUGUUUUGUUGAGUUAUGUCCAUCCUUGUAUUAGUAAUUUAUUAUGGAUGAUUUAUAAGGAUUUAGGGCUUUUACAUGUUACAUGAACAUGAAACAUGAUUUUAUGUAUUAUAUUAGAUUAUUUUUUUUUUUAGACUAGGCUGUGUAGGGGUGGUAUUGGGUUAUGACGGGAUGUUAUGGCUUUAGUAUAACUUGUCCCCGUAUGUAUGUGUGAGGUGCAUACAUUGCUAUAAUUGAUUUCCAUGCUUCAUAUAUUGUUAUCAUGAUGUUUUAUGUUGGUAUUAAUGAGUAAUUGGUUGCUAGCACGUUUCUGUACAUUGCUUGGUUAUUUUGGUGAAGUUAGAGUCAUUUUCCCGGCUAACUGAGUUGUGCCGAGUUGUCCGGGCUGUCUAGCCGAGCUGGUUAGGUUGGUUGAGCUAUAGCCGAGUUGGUCGGGCAGUCUGGCUGAGUUGUCCAAGUUUAAGACGUGCUAGAGCUCGGGUUUUAUCAAAUUUGGGAUCGUUUUAGGGGGUUUUAGAUGUUGGUCAACCCUUGGUGAUGUUGGGCAUGUUGUUUGAGGUGUUGUUUGAAUUGUUUGUUGGUCGAGCUGUUUGGGGAACUCGAUUUUUAGGUUUUGGAACUUGUUUUUUAGAGUGUUUUAGGCCAACCUAGGGGUUUAGAACCUGACCGAGUUGUUUGUAGGGUUGAUUGAGCUCUUUGAGCACUUGGUCGAGUUGGUUGUGAGGUUGAGUUGCUUAAAAGGUUAACUAAGUUGUUUGAUGUGAUUGCUUUGUAUUGUGAUUGUGGAUCAUUUUUCUUCUUACGUACUUUUUAGCCGUGGCAGGUAAGACCUACGUUGGUGCGUGAGUCCUAUGUUUGACUUUUUUCACACAUCCUACCACUUACAAAAUCUAAUUUAAUCAAAUGUUGUCACGUAGUAGCCUCUUAAACACACAAACCCAAACCAAUGGUAGGGUGCCAUGUCAUCAACUUCUAUAUCAAAACAACCACCCAAAACCCUAACUGCCACCACCGUCAACUAUCAUGAAGGCAACCACUACAAUACCACUGAGUCGCAACCUCCACCACAACUAUGGCAAGCCCAUGUGAACCACUUCGUGUCCUCGUGCCACCAUUAACCACACUACGACAACCUUUUCGCAACCUAUAUCUCAUCCUCGCACCACUACGAAACCUACAGAAAAUAAAAACCCCAAGUUACGCCACCAUGUUCUCCUCCAUCAACAACCACCAUUGAUCAACAGAUAGCCCUCCUCGCAACCUGCUAAACCAAUAUAAAUCGCAAAAUGUGAAACCCAAUUGCACUAGCGCGAGGUAGCCUCGUCAGCUUAGUUCCACACAAAACCCUUGCGAGAAUCAUGUAACCACGAACUUGCAAAUUCAAAUCGCGAGCUAGAACCCUAACACAUUUCCUCCUUCACAUAACUAUGACGCAGAACCAUCAUGAACCACUGUGAAGUAGCAGUAACUUGUAAAUCGAAAACCAAAAUUAGAUUUACACCACCACGACAGAGCAACCCCUUAACACUUGACAAACCAAAUUGCGAAAUUCUUCCUUUGUUGGAGAAGAAGAUUUCAAAUCGCGCCUCCAUCAAAAGUCAAACAACCACCAUCGAAACCUUGAUUUUGGUUGAGAGAGGGAACUACAGCCUAACAGACCCUCAUUAAGUAGUCUCGCAUUAGGUCAAAUAGUCCAAACUGGUCAAAAAAUAUAUAAACUUAUUCAUUUAAUAACUUGGUCUACUUAUAAAAAUUAUUUAUUUUUGAAUAUAUAUACUUAUAUAUUUACCCCGUCGAAAAUAUAUUAUUAUUAUAAGGCCUAAAAUAUCCAAUAAGCAUGAGAUUUAUGUGUGAGAUAUGUAUAAAAUAUUAACACUCUUAAAAUCAUAAAAAAAAAUUAUAUUUACGAUAAUAUAAACAAAUUAUAAUGAAUAGAUUUCAGUUAUUAUAUUUGUUAACUUAUUGUUAUAUUUUGAACUUAUAUUAUUUGUUAUUAUUUUUUACAUAAUGAUAAGCCGAGGAAAAUAAAUAAAUAUUCCAUAUUGAAUUAAUUUAACUCCAUAUUUAUUCAAUAUUGAAAUAUCUCUUUGUGACAUAUUAGAGCUUACAUCAGUUUAAUAAAUCAAAUUAAUUUGUUUAGCUAAAUUUUUGAUAAAGAAACAACUAAAGAAAUAAAGUCCAUGUUCUUACAAAACAUGCUUGUAAUUAUCAAUAGCUAACGGGAAAAUAUACCCGGUGCCGCUGUUUCACUUAACUUCUUCUACUAAAAAAAUGUAUUCAGUGAAGCUAUUAAUGACCUUUUAAUUUAAUUUAAUUUAAUUUAAAAUGGUUGAUAGGGAUGCUCCUACCUUUUUAAAUAAUUGCGUUUUAAUAUCAUCGUACACCUAUAUUAAGAAAAACAAUAAAUAUAUUAUUUUAAAAAUAUUUUAUCAAAAUGGUACUACAGUUUUUUUAUAUAAAUAUUAGUAAAAACAUAUGUUAUUCUUUUAUCAUAAGAGACAAUAAUAAAACUAUUAUUAUUUUUAUUAUAAUUAUAAAAAUAAAUAUAAAUAAACUUUAGAAUUUUAUUCUAAAUAUUUUUUUCAUUUUAUAGAUACUUUUUUAUUGUAGAAAAAUAUUUUAAUUUUAAAAAUAAUUAAAUCUAAAAAACUGUUAAAUCAAAAAAGUAUUUAAUUUUAAAAAAUUACUUAAAACAAAUAUUUAAAAAAAAGAAAUGUAUACAAAAAUAAAUAAUAAUAAUAAUAAUAUAAAGUAAAACUUUUUAGUUGCUAUCUGAAUUUUUUCAAUUAUAUAUAUAUUUUUUAAAUCAAUAAAAUAAAAAUAAACUAUAAAAAUCCUUAGGAGCAAAUGUGUUCAUUCAUUUUUUGAUUUUAAAGUUAUCGGUCACACAUUGUAUCAUUGCUGUCAAUCAGGACGGCCAACACAUUGUAUUCUUUCCAUAAAUUUUUAUUAGCAUUUAAAGUUCUAAAUAGAAAAAUAUACUUUUAACAAUUUUUUUUAUAAUUUUUUUACAACUGUUAACAUAACAGAGUGUUUAUGUAACAGUUUAUAUUUAGUCAGUUUUAAAUAUACAAAUAAAUAAAAUAAAACAUAUUGUUAAAAGAUUAUUAAAAUAUGAUACUUGGUGAUAUAGUUGUAGUAUUUGGUAUUUAACAAAAUAAAUAUACUUAUUAAUUUUGAAAUAGAUAUUAAAGUUUAAUGUUUAAAAAUAUUAAAUGAUGUUUAUUUUUGUUGUUACUUAUAAUAGAAAAGAAAAUAAAACAUCUUAACAUCAACAUCACUCACACAUGCUUUUGAAAAUAAAAAACAUCUACAUCACACAGUCUUCUAAAAAAUCAAUCACCAUCACAUGACACCACGAAAUCGCACGCUGUUAAAUUAAUUAAACUAAGACACAAUAAAUCAUCCUCUGCGACUCUUCUCAGUUUCAUUCUAUCUCUCUAUAAACUGUUGUUGUGCUUUGAUUCCCUUCUUCUCCACCAUGGCUAUGGAGGACCUAACAUCGUUGUUAAGCGAUUAUGGGACCCUCUUCAGAGAAGACACAGACUUUUACAACCGCAUUGUGUUGGGCACCUUGUUGCCGCACACCGUGUGGGCCCCACUGCCGCACUUCUUCCAGACCUGGCUACGCAACUACCUGGGUGGUGUCCUUCUCUACCUCCUCUCUGGCUUUAUGUGGUGCUUCUACAUUUACUAUUGGAAACGUAACGUUUAUCUGCCCAAAGGUUUUUCCUUUUACCUCCUCUUCUUACCUUUAUUGCUUAUUCUUUUCUGUGUUAUUUCUCUGUGUGAACAUCUUGGUUGUGUUUUCUAUCCCAAUGGUUGGGUUUAUCGUAAGGGACUAAUAAAAAAUCCUUUUUUUUUUUUAUUAAGGUUUGAAUCUUGACUAAAAGAGAUGUUUGUAUUUAGUGUCUGACAAACAUCUUUGCAUGCUAAUGAGGAUAAAUAUAUAUGGGGGGCUAAAAGAUUAUGUUGUGUUUGGUUAAAAAUGGUAUAUUUUAGCUCUGAUAUGAAAUGGGUUUUGAUUAGUAACUUUUUUUUUUGUAAAGAAAAAAAAAUUGGGGGAUUUUGGAGUGUAUCAGUGGGGAGUUAAAAUUUUUGUUAUGCUUCCUGUCUGUUUUUUUUUUUUUAAAGAUUGCAUACUUUGGCCUUGUUAUUGAAUGAGAUUUUAUUAGUUUGUUAGUCUGGUUUCGGCUUGCAUGAUUUUAGAAGAAAGGGUACAAGAUUAUUACUCUGGCUUUUGGUGUUCUGGCUUUUGUUUUGAUAUACCAUUGUUACUUGUUUUGCGUUUUAGGAUUAUGGAGAGGAAAAUUGGAGUUAAAUUGGUUUUGGGUUUUCGAGUGUGAUUUUCAGUGGUUGAAUUUUUUUAAUAAUUAUUUUUCAUGGUGUUUAGUUGAUUGUCUUUGAUGGAUUAUGCUUCUACAGUUAUGCUGAUGUACAUGAUUCCAGCUUUUUCUUCUAUAGAUCUGUUCUCACAUACUGUGCGGUGAACUGUAUGAUUGCAUCUCCUAAUUGAUGUAUUGUGCCUUCCAAGGAUUGUUGGUGUUCUUGUUAUGGUAGUAAUUUGAGUGGACUUUUCCUAUUUGUGUCUGUAAUGUCUGAUACAUGUAACCAUCUCACGCUGUGAGAAAAGGAUUUUCUUGUUGUUUAUAAUGGUGCAACGUCUUGGGAAAAUGAUGCGGAGAGUUAUUUGUUUGGGGCAAAGCAAUGUUUUCAGUUUCAGUAUCCAUUAAGCUACCAUCACGGACUUGUUCUUGUUCUGUAAAACUUCAGUGAACCAAAUCUGAUGCAUUACUUUACAUUCUACAAAGUAAGGUUACAGAUUUGACUGUAUGCCGUGCUCGAAUAUUUUUGAAACUUGGACAGUUACUUUACCUUUUGAAAUUGCCACUCAUCUUCGUGCAUUACUUGAGAAGAAUUUUAUUGUUCUCUGCUAUGAUCUUUCCAAGAAGGAGAUUGUGACCUAGACAGGCUGUUUUCAUCAUUACAAAUAACCUGUAUGGUUUUAAGCAACAGUAUGCAAAUGCAUUUUUUGGUGUCCCUGGGACCACAAUAUGACUGCAAUUGUAGUCACAUUAACCACAUUUGUUUGCAACCUUUUUUGCAAUAUUAAGAUUCAAAAUGAAACUGUAGCUGUGACCACUGUCUAAAACAUUGGGUUUUAUACGUGUGGAGCUCGAAGUUUUACAACAGGGACCAUACUGCCUCUACCACUGAAUUGUUCUAUGCUUUACGAUCUAGUCAAUCGGAAGAUUGAUGUUCAUUCAUUGUUUCAUACAUAUAUGAAUUGACUAGAUUCUCAUUUAAAUAGCUAAAAUGCAAUUUUCUUUAGUUUUUCUUUCCAUACUAUAGUAAUUGUCAAUUGGCCAUGAAAGACAAUUUGUAGUACUCUGCUUCACCUAAAGCAGUAGCAUAAAAUAUCUUUUGUUUAGAUUAAUACAGGGCAAGUUUUUUAUACUUUACCUCUUGUGGACUACCUUCAGAAGUCUGAGACCAAGCUGUUUAUGUUCAUCUUUGGUCUGGCUCUAAAUAUUUUUGAGUUAUUGGUGGUCAAACUCAAUUAAGCAGAGCAAUUAUACUAAAGGUUUGAAUAUUAAUAACUAACGGUUUGUUCAAGUAUACUUGCAUGUAGCUUUUGUGUUGUUGUGCUUUUAAUUGUAAGGCGCUUAUAGGAUCUUUUGUAACUUUCAUUUCUUGAUUUAUUUAAAUCUACCAUUGCAGAUGCUAUUCCCUCUCAAAGAGCCAUGCUGUUGCAAAUAGGUGUUGCUAUGAAAGCCAUGCCUUGGUACACUUUGCUUCCAACUGUUUCAGAGUACCUAGUAGAAAAUGGCUGGACAAAGUGCUAUCCUAGAUUAUAUCACGUUGGUUGGCUUGCAUACUUUGUGUAUUUAGCUAUUUAUCUAGUUGUUGUAGAGUUUGGUAUUUAUUGGAUGCACAGAGAGCUGCAUGACAUUAAACCACUUUACAAACAUCUUCAUGCUACUCAUCACAUCUACAAUAAACAGAACACUCUGUCCCCUUUUGCUGGUAAGUACAUUAAAUAUUCAACAUUUAAACACUGCAGUCGUAGUUAUGUCAAGCUAAAAACCCUUUUCAGACAAUUAUUUUAACCUUUUAUAAUCCCUGACAAGAAGAUAAUUCAUAAUGACUUUGAAAAAUGUUUUUAAGUCUAUUAUUGGGUUAUUUCAUAAUUUAUGCAUGUGCUGUGGUAGAUGGUACUGAUUUUAAGGGUUGGAGUUUGAUAAGGAUGACAGUAUGUGAUUAUGACUGUGUUUUACUGGUGAACCUUGAACCUAAAUCAUUCAUAAUGCACCUUUAUCACGUGGAAUGUGAGUUUGGCAUGAUAUUUUUCACAUAGCUCAAAAUCAUCACUUGAUGUAAAAUGAAGGUAGUCCUUAUGAAACCAAGAUAGUUGUAUUUUUAAUUGUAUAUGUCACAAGUAUAUCAACGACUUAGAAUAUCUGCUUCAUCUUUUCAAAGAAACUCAUGAAGGAAGAGUGUGGAAAGGAAAUAUCGGUAAGGAUAUAAGGGAAAUAGAAAUAGACAUAUAAUGAAAGGAAGGACACUGACCAGAAAGAGAGAGAGAAUCAGUAAAUACUUUUAUUUGGAUAUCCAUGAACAGAAACCAAUCAUAUAUAGAUAAGAGCUGAGUAUAUAUGUAAAUAGAGACAAAGUUGUGUUCUUCAGUAAGAAUCAAGCACUACGUUCUUAUUAAUAUCCCAUUUCAUGUGACUUGUUUUGUCAACCAGUUUAUUGUGGAUAUACUUCUCAAUUUCUAGUAUUACUGUUCUUUUCUGCAAGCUGACAAGGUAAACUUUGCUAACAUACCAAGCAGUUGUUGGUACACUGUUUUGGUAGUAGAUAGAUUAGCGCUUUAACAGUACUGGUGCUAUACUCGUUAGUAAAGACAUGCUAUUCUAGUAACAAAAGCAUUAAUUUAUUCUAGUUUAUGUGAGUUACUUUUUGUCUCCCUUCAAAUGAGUGUCGUUCAAUUUCAUUGCUAGAAGCUGUUUUCCAUUUUGGCACCACUGUAUAUGGAUGUUAUUCUUUUUAUUCAUGUUCUAGUCUGAUUCAUUUUGUGUUUAACAUCAUCUUUAUUUGUUCUACCAUUUGUUUCUCUUAUUGUCCAUCUUUAGACAUUUCCACCUUUUCACCGUAACAUUUUGAUCAGAUGAAGGGUGUAGUGACCUUUUCCCCAUGUAUCUCAGGUUUGGCGUUUCACCCUCUUGAUGGGAUUCUUCAGGCUUUACCACAUUCUCUUUCUUUGUUUUUUAUCCCAAUCCAUUUUACUACACAUUUAGUUCUCAUUUUCCUUGAGGGUGUUUGGACUGCAAACAUUCAUGACUGCAUUCAUGGAAAGCUGUGGCCUGUUAUGGGUGCUGGUUACCACACCAUUCACCACACUACAUAUCGGCACAACUAUGGCCAUUAUACCAUCUGGAUGGAUUGGAUGUUUGGGACUCUUCGCGACCCGGAGGAGGAAGAUGGCAAGGCAAAGUGAUGAACUGCAGACUAGCAUUGAACAGUCAUAUUGGUUAUCUUGUUUGGAUUGUUGAAAUGUGGUUCCUUGCAUGUAAAGCUCAAAUGUGUUCUGUAUUUUUCUGGUGUGCAUCACAAGGUGAUUUUAUAUGUUAGAGAGACAGGGUAGAGGGUUAAAAUGGGAGCUUCUGUCUCUGAUUCUAUUGUUAGUAUAUGUUUAGGUCUUUUUCUUUCUCAGAUUGUGUGGUAGAGAUUGAGAUGGUAAUGCUGUUUUCUCCAUGUGUGAGAAUUGGUCAAACUACUAAUACUUGGAUUUGUUUCACUCUCUUUCUCCCUUCUAUAUGAUUCUAUGUUGAAAUGAGGUGCAAGAAAACCAUUCCUUCAAACUGGAUUCUGUCAUGGCUGUCUUUGAUCUGAGGCAGCAUGAUUGUUUUUGUGGAUUCUUUUAAUGGGAUUAGUAAACAUAUUGUUUGUCAAUCUAAUUUAGGAUUCAAUGAUCAUCACAGUUUAUUUGUAAACAAUUUAUAUCUUGAAUCAACUUUAUAAAUAUAUCCAAUUCAUUGUAUUGCCUUCUUAUGUGAAUAUUAAUUAAUAAUUGGUGCAUUGCUUCCCAUAAAUAGAUCUUUAGAAAGUCUUAUAUAAUCCAAAAGUCUUAAGACUUGAAAUAUUACCUUGCUUUCAAUAACUUAAGUGAUAAUGUUGAAGAUCAAGAUUAAUUAGAGUAAUAUGCGUUUGAAAAAUAAAUAAUGCAAAGAAGUAAAUUCUUGCAAACUCGGAAACUCAAGAAAAAAUAAAUGAACUAGAAAGGUAAAGAUACAAGAAAAGUAAAUGUAAAAAACAUAAAAUACCAAGGAUAAAAUAGAAACGGAUAAAAAAUUUAAUUAAAAUAAUGAUUCAAAUGGUUAUAAUUUCCACUUAAGUUGUCAUUAUCUUGUUUGUGGCGUUUGUAGAGUGUUUUUGUUGUAAAUAUAAUUUGUCACAUGUUUUGAAUACAAAUAACUUGUUUUAUAUUUCUUUUGAUGGUUAAAUCAAAAUAAAUAAAAAAAUACAUAAUAAUUAGGAUAGUUGUCUAAAAUCGUUUGCAUCAUUUAUGUUGAUUAAGUCCACGUUUGUAGUGAUUAUUGUUAAAGAUAAAAUCAUUUUUCACUCAAAACUCUUAGAUUUUGAAUUUUAAUAAAAUAAUAUUAAAAUGGGAUAAUAACCAAAAAACAAUUUAAGGUGAAAAUACAAUACUUAAAUUCUGAAUUUCAAACACACACAACCUAGAAUAUGAUUCCCAAACAUAGAAAAACUUAGAAAAACACUUAGGUCUUAGGAAAUAGAAAAACAUUUAGACGUAUGAUUAAAUGUUGUUGAACCCAAAGCGUCUAAGAGAGAUUAAGUUAAAUACUUAAUGCUUAUAAUAACUAGAAUAGGUACAUUUGAAAGAAAUCAACAAAGAUUCUUGCAAGAAAAUAGUGUUGUCAUAGAGCUGAUCAUUUAUGCACAUUGAGAUGUACUUCUUAAGAUUAGUGGUGUUAUACAAUCAAGGUUGAUUGUUUCCCUGUUGUUGUAGCCAGGAAGAGGACUUGGUGAAGUUCUAGGACUUAGAGUUAGUAUUGCUCUAAGGGUGACAGAAAGUGAGUGAUUUUUUUGGAUUUGUACUAUAGUUGAUAUUGAGUUUAUAGGAAAGCACAUUUGAGAGGAUUGUUAUUUGUAUGUCUUUCUUGUAAGAACUUUAUCAAUAUAGUGAAUCCCUUCAUCUAAGGUUGAUUGAAGGAAGACUGGACGUAGAUAGUGGGCCAAACCAGUAUAAACAAUUGUGUUAAUCUCUCUAUCCCUUCUUUUUUACCUUGUUCUUAUUCUUGAUUGAUUGCAUUCCAAGAAAGCUUCAAAGAUUUCAAAAAGAUUUUAAAAGAACUUUUUAUUAAAGGUGAAAACCAAUUCACCCCCUCUUGGUUGAAUAUAUUGGCCUAACUUUUUCUAUAGUCUCAAAUGAUACUCCAAAAACUUAUGUUGAAAAACACCUUUCUAAACGCACUUGUUGAAUAGAACAGAGAAAAACCUAAAGUGUUUACAAAAGCAAGAUAAUACCAUGUGCCAAAUGAUCUACUUCAUCCAACGGUGAAGUUUUCAUCAAUUGCUUAGUAUCUUAGGGCAAAGCUUAAAUGAUUAAACCCUACCUAAACGGUAGAAAACGUAAAAAACAUUUUGUUGUUCUGAAUAGACAUUAAAUGUCAUUAAACGAUCUUUAGAAACAACUAAAGGGAUAAGAGAAAAGACAUAUAUAUCUAUUGCAUGCAUAUCUACUUUACUUUGUGCAGAUUUCCUAUUACAAGCAUUCACUCGUUCCAUCCUACACAAAUCAGAAGUGGACUUUAAGAACAAAGAAGUCUCUACAUCAAAAGUCGUGCCAGGAAAAUCGUACCACCUAUUUUUAUCAAAGUACUAAAAAAGCAAAUAUGCUCUGACAAGUUGACUUUAACCAACGAUUGCUACAUACAACAAGAGUAGGAAGACUCAAAGAUCAAAGCAAAAGCUUUGUUUGACAAAUAUCUUUUUUUAGAAGCCUUUAAAUAGAAGACCAUUCAAAAAGGGAAUUAGGAGAAUAACAUAGAAUAACAUAUAGAGAGAAAAGGCUAAAGAAAACAAUGUCAAGAGAAAGCUCAGAAACACACGAGAAUAUCUUAGAGAGAAAAGCUCAAGAAAAGAAACACUCUCAAGCUUCAUUGUUAUAUAAGCUUACUUGCACAAGAAGAAAGAAGAGAGAAAAUAUUUAGUGAGUUUAUUAGAUUGAUUUGUAUUGAACACAUAUCAUCUUUGCGAGAGUUAUCAUCUAAGGACUUGUAAACAAUCAUUUGAUUGUAAUUUCUACAGAGAAUUAAAACACUUUACGUUUAACUUUGAGGAGUUAAACGGUAGCUAGACAGUUGUGUCUAGUGGAAACUAGGAGUGGGUGAAACUUUGACGUUUAACUUGGUGAAGUUAAACGGUAGCUAGUCGGGUGUGUCUAGUGGAAAUCAAUAGUGGGUGAAACUCUGACGUUUAACUUGGUGAAGUUAAAUGGUAGCUAGCCGGGUGUGCCUAGUGGAAACCAAUAGUGGGUGAAACUCAACUAGACAGUGUACCAGGAAGAUACUGGGAGUGUCUAGGGAACACGACUAGUGAAGAAUAUUGUGAAACCAAGAGUGAGUGAAGCUCGGUACUAGUCAGAGUAACGGUAGUUACUUGGAGUGACUAGGGAUACCAAGAGUGGUGAGAAUACUUAGUUGUAAUCUCGUUGAAGAUUAUAGUGGAACCCUCUAAGAUGUUAGAGGAGACUGGACGUAGCUCGGUGGAGUUAACCAGUAUAAAAAUGAUUGUGUGUUUAUUGCUUUAUUCUCUCUAAACGUUUCUCUUACAAAUCCUGCAAUUGCACUUUAUUCUAAUCAAUAUAAAAGCUCCUGUUACCAAACGAUUUUUUUUUUAUUAAAAAACAAGUUUUAUCAAAAUUUUGUAGCAAACAAUUUUAAACAAUUGAAAAACAUUUGUUACCAAGAAUUCACUGUUUAAACUGAUCUUUAAGGUCGAGAAUUUAACAACAUACGUAAACUUUUCAAACCUUGACAAAACUAUUAUAUUAUCUCCUUUAUUAAAAGUUUUCCUAUAACAUUAUUUCAAAGUACUUCAAUUGAACCUUUCUUAAGAGUUAUAUGCAAUGUAUAGAGAUUUGUUCAGUUAAGACAAGUUUUAGAGGAUUCCUUAAGGCCCAAGAAAGCCCAAAAAGAUGUUAUAUUGCAUUUUUACUCAAAGGGAAGUAAAAAAGAUUCAAAACAACACACCGUUUUUGUCAAAAAUAAUCAAUUAUCUAAGGCUAUAAUUGAUUAUUGCUGAACCAAAACAUGGAAAAAAGCCAAAGCUGGCUGGAAUAAUCGAUUAUCAAGGUGAAUAAUUGAUUAUCUUAGCUACUUUUGAAGAAUAUGGCCAAAAACAAGCCUGAAAGACAUUAAAACUUGGCUAAAUACAAUCCUAAAUGAGAAGAAACCUUGGCCCAAAUACAAGGCCAAAAAAGGAAGUUAUAUUACAUAUUUAAAAAGUGUUUAAGAGAAAAUAAGAGGCUAGUAGUUCAUCCUCCACAAAAGUAGAGUUCUUGGAGCUUUAUCUUCCUCUUCCAUCCUCUUUGUCAUAGCUCUUGUAAGUGGUCUAAUAUGUCCUCUUGAUGGUCCUCUAUCAUUCUCAGAUUCUUCCUUUAAGCCAAGAGUUGGUGCAAAGAGUUUUCCAUUAAGCUCAACCAUGUCGAUUAUUGAGAGUAGGGUAAAAGAGGUAUUUUAGGAAGAAAAAGUCAUUGAAGUAAUAUGGGAAGUAAAAUCACAAGGGUUUAAGAUUUCUAAAGAAAAUGGGUGUAGGGAGGAUCAAAAAGUAAAAAAGUAGGAGAACAAAUGUUAGGCCCAUAAAUGAGCAAAAGGAAAGAUUAAGGGGAUUAUAAAAAGAGAGUUGAAAGAUGUUACAAUUGAAAUGUGAAUGGAAUAGGUUUGAGUCCACUAAGAGAUAUAAUAUUAUAUUUUUGCUUUAGUAAUGAUCUAAUGGUUAUACUGAAGUAGGCAUGAGUAAGCAUUAAAUGCAAAGGUUGUCAAGAGCCAAGUGACAUUUCUUACAAUCAAUGUAAAAACAUGCAAGGAAAAGAAGGUGGAAGGUCUUGGAGUCAAAGAGUUGAAUUGUUUUUAAGAGAAUACUUAUUUAUGUGAGGUAUGACUCAAUAUUCUCUUAGGGGCCAUCUAUUCAGGGCAUCGGGGCAACAACCAAAAAAAUAAAUAAGCAAAUUUUCAUACAAAGAGUGGAGAAAGAUCAAGACAAAAAGGACCGAGAAGAAGAAUCGAGCAAAAGGGCACUAUUAAGACAUCAAAAGAAUCUUGAUCAAGAUAAAAUAACAUCAAAAGAAGUUAGAUCAAGGUAAUGAGUAAUCAAGAAAAUGAUAAUCGAGAUAGAGGUUGAAACUAAAUCGAGAAGAGUUGUUAUUUCCAAUAACUGUUAUAGAUAUGGAAUUAAUGGGAACAUUUGAGACUACAUAGAUAGUUUUAAGAAAUUACUUCAAUUUAUGUAAUUUUUUUUUAUUUUAAUUACCAAGUAACUUCUAAAAAAGGGGAGAAAAUAUAAAUAGACAGUUCAAAUGUAGACAAGAAAUGGUAAAUCCAACAUUGGUUGUAGCAAUUUAAGUCACCACUUUCAUUAAUUUACUUUACCAGUCCUUAUUUUAUCCUUGAUAAUUUAUUUUCCUUCUUUUUACAUUUUUGUAAAUCAUUUUUCUCCAUUCUCUUCUUCAUCUAUAAUUUCCAUUUUAUCUUUUUCCUUCGUCCAUCAUCCCAUUUGUUGAAAAAUAACAAAAAAACCUAAAAAUAUUAAUAUUGAAAAAAAUGCAUGAAUUGUUGAUUAAAGUCCAUAAUAAAAGAGAAUUUUGUGAUUAAAGUUUUUGUGACUUUGAUUAAUAAUAUAAGUGAAUUGUUUGUAAAAAAUGUGAAUGUAUAAACACUAAAAAACUUUAAAUCAAAUUGAAAAACUUAUAAAUUUGCUAGCUCAUUACAUUAAGUAGAUGUUAAAAUUGUGAGAGCAAUAUAUGUCAACCAAGAAAGGGGUAAAUUGGUUUAAAACUAUUUUUAUCCUUUUUGAAAAUUUUCUAGUGUUUAAAACUGCUUUCAAUGAAUUUUUCAAUCUUUAAAGAAUUUAACAAAUUAAUAAACAAGAACAAUGAAAGAAAUCAACACAAAGAUUUAUACUGGUUCAACUCUUCAAGAGUUUACAUCUAGUCUUCUUCUAACGUGAGUUGGAAGGAAAUAAUUAAUAACAAGUGUCAUGAUUAUAGAAUACGAUGUACUCUAAAUCUCUAAUCACAACACAAACAAACUCUUAAGGGUGAGGCUACACAAACUCACACUAGGAACCAAGAACACAUUCUUAAAUGUAAGGUUACACACACUCACACUAGGAAUCAAGAACACAUUCCUAAAGAUAAGGCUACACACACUCAAACAAGGAACCUUGCCUACAUAGUAAAGGCAACUACAAUUCACAAAGAGUUAUAGAAAAAAAAAAUCAUGGUACACCUCUAGUGCUAAUAUUACAAAGAAACCAAAAUUCAAAUCCUUCCUUGAUCUUUUCUUUCACUCUUGAAGCCUUGGAACUUGAAUUUCCUCAAUUGAUGUUUGACUUCUCUAAGAAUGCUCCAAGGCCUUCCAAAGAACGUUUUUGUUUCACAAUUGAAAGCUCUAAGUAUGUUUUAUGUACCUACAAAAGAAAUGAACCACAUAUAUAUAGCGAAAGCACAUAUCUGUCAAUUUUAAUAGAUUAGAUUAUUUCUUUAAUCAAUUAAAAUUUACACAUAGUUUUAAUCAAUUAGAUGAUUUUCUUAAUUGAUUAAAACAGAGAGUAAUCUUUCUAGUAUGCAUCAGACCAUUUUAAUCAAUUAAAUUGUUUUCUUAACCGAUUAUAAUUUACACAGUUUUAAUCAUUUAACUAAUUUUCUUAAUCAAUUUAAAAAAAAGUAAAACACCAGCUUUUAACAGUUUUAAUAUUGAGUACAUAUCAUCAUAUAUUCAAUAUAAAUUGAUACCACGUAUAAUUAAUCAUAAUCAUAGUUUCAAAUUUAUUUAUCAAGUUAGAAACAUUAAUCAACAUCAUGAAAAAUAGUUAUUCAUUUAUCAUGAAACCAAGUUAAGAACAUAAUUAACCAUUCAUUUGGGUUACUUGAAGUAUCAACAGUAUAUUGGUUUCACUUAGUGACGUUAUAAAUACAUCAAAUCUAAUCCUCGAGGAACAAAAUCAUUUUUAGUUUCAACAUAUUAUGAAGUCUGAUUUCAGUAAAUUUAAUAUUAUUUUAUCACAAGCAUUAAUUUGAUGUUUUAUGUAUGAAAUUCUUUUUAAUAUAUUAAUAUAUAUUGGUACUAAUGUUUAUAUAUAAAAGAUAAAUGCAUAUGAUUUAUUGUGCAAUAUAAAAUAAGCAUCUGCCUCUCUUUUUUAAGACUUUAAAAAAUAGAAAAAUAAUUUCAUAAAUUUAUAUUUUCACAAAAAAUUAUAAAAUUAAACUAUAUGUGAUUACCUUAAUUAUAUAAAAUAAUGAAUAUAUACCUUUAUUAAAUUAUAAACUUAAAAACAUUUUAAUUAUUUUAAAUUAAAAUAUUCUUUGUUAUAUUAAUAAUCUUAACAAAUAUUCAUUAUUUUGGUAAUCGCGCUAGUUCUAAACUAAUU
rnacentral:lncRNA from 1 species